rnacentral:lncRNA from 1 species
UCUUAUAGACGUUCCAUCUAAAAGAAGCUUUUCUAAAUGUUCCAUAACUUCCGUGAUUUCUGGAAAUCUCUCUAGUUUUGAACAGCCAGAAAGGAUAAGAGUUUUAAGGGAUUUCAAAGCACAAAUUCUGCCAGGAAGGAUCUUAAGGUUUUUGCAGCUUUUCAUAUUUAAUAAAACAAGCCCUCGGAGAUACCCAACCGAUGAGGGAAGUUCAAUGAUAGCAGUGGCUUCCAAAUUAAGCUCCAAUAAAGACUCCAUAUUGGCUUCGAUGUCUGGAAACUUCUCAAGUCUUGAGCAGCCAGAAAGGUUAAGAACUUUAAGAGAUUCCAAUCCAGUGAUUCUGGGAAAACAGUGAAGCAUUUUGCAGUUUCCCAAAUUCAACGUCUUAAGAUUUUUCAGCCUAGCAAUUGAUGGGUGCACCUUAUGCAAACUUGUACAACCAUCAAGAUUUAGUGUCUCCAGAGAUGGUGCACCAGACACGUCCGGACAUUCAACCAGGCAUGGAGAGUGACUGAGAUCCAUGACCUUCAAAUUUUCAAGACACUGUAACAUAAAAAUAAAAUAAAAAUUGUUGAAUAAAUUUUCUUGGAAGAACUUCAAAAUUUAUUGAGAAUAAGUAGUGAUCAUACCUUGUUCCCUUUCCAAAGGUGUUUUAAGCUGCUAUGCUUCAAAGUGAUUUGAACCAGUUUCUUACCAUCAAAAUUUGAGGGCAACGAUUCCAAACUCCAUCCAUCCCAAUGAAGAUAUCUUAAUUCAUAGGAAGGAAAUUUGAAUUCUUGAGGGAGGUGCACUGUGUUAGAACCAUAUGAUGAAAGUCCAUCCCAAUAGACCCUGAGGAGUCUUAAGUUUUGUCAUAUUUUUAAAAGCUCUAGUCGUAAACUGUAUUUCUAUUGAUGCCGACAUAUCAAAGGAUAUUCCUUGGAUUGCCUUUGUCCACUAAAACCAACAACAGGGGAUAAGUGAAGCACAAAAUGCUUAAAAUCAUAUACAUAAGCAACUUCUUUAAGUGAAAUUAAAUGCCUUAAAAGUUUAAAUAAGUUCAGGCACUUGGCUCUUACCGUAUUUUGUGUCAACACAGCAUGGACAUCUUCAUGGAUUCCACAAUCUACUCCAUUUGCCAGGUCUUCCAGGAAAUUCUUCCUUAAUGAUUUCCCAACCCAUUUUUUGCAUCAAAUCAUGCAUUUCUAUCUUGUUGUCUAAAAUACUAAUGAGAGAACGAUCUUUGAGAACUUUCAUUCCAUUUGCAGAGAAGUUGCAACUAUCAAGUAUUCUUCCAACAGAAUCUGAGUCCUUCCCUCUGAAGAAGCAUGCAAUAUCAAGGAAUAGAUCCUUUUCUGUGCUAUCCAGUCCAUCGAAACUUACUCUAAGCAUUUGUUGGAUUCUCCUGUCCCCUACUGUUUGUUGCUUAAGCAGUGCAUUUUCCCAUGCAAGCUCCGUCUUGCCACGCAGGAAAAGUCCCAGAACUUUAAGAGCUGCCGGAAGUCCAUCACAGUAAUUUAAUGCAUGUCCGGAGAGCUCCCAAAAACCUUCGUCAGGAAAGUCUGCCUUGAACACAUUCAAACUAAACAGUUGAAGAGCUUCCUCAACUUUUAAUUUCUGAACCUCAUAUAAUCCAUCAACUCCAUACCCAUCUAGUAAAUGUUUGUCUCUCGUUGUUAUGAUAAUCCUACUACCUGAACCAAACCAUUGAUGGCUCCCUGCCAACAAUUCUAAUUGAGUCAAAGCACUAACAUCAUCGAGAAUGAUAAGAACCUUUCUAGAGAAAAGUGUCUUCUUUAUCAAGCUAAUGCCUUCAUGAAUGUUGCUUAUGUGUACAAAAUUUUCCCGUAGGAUAUCUGCUAGAAGUUGUCUUUGUAGUUCAAGCAAUCCAUGCCUUUCCACUGCCUCUGCAACAUGUGGCAAAAAGCUAGCAUCUUCAAAUUGAUGAGCAAUUUGGUUGUAUAUUCCUUUGGCGAGGGUAGUCUUGCCUAUUCCAGCAAUUCCAUAUAUUCCUAUAAUGCGAACAUCAUUUGACUCCAUACAUAAUAGUGACGACAUUUCUUCCAAACGGGAAUUGAUUCCUACCAGAUGGUCAUCAAUAGUUAAGAGUUCAGGAUGACUGAUCAGCUUUUUGGAAAUGUGUCGAACAAUUCCUUUAAUAAUCUGAGAUUCGUACCUGCCAAAUAAAAAGCACAAUAUACGAACCACAAAUUAAUUGUAAGAAAGGCAGGGAAAAAAUUAAAAUGAUGAUGUUUAAUUUCAAUAUUUGUCAUGCUAUCAAUUGAUUUAUCCUAAUGCCUAAUUCUGAUCAAUAUUACUAUCAUGGAGACAAACUCAAAACGCAUAUGACUAACUGGAAUGGGCAGAGCACAUAUAUAUCCAAAAGAAUUGAUGUUAUAUAUAUGUAUAUAUAUAUUUCCCUUUGAGGCUCUCUUUAUGAAAUAAAUAAAUAACAAUAUAUUGGACUCUAUAUUUUUUCCUUGAUCAUAUUUUCAACUUUUUUUUUUUUUAAUAAAUGAUGAGGAGCUUUUGAUAAUGCAAGAAAUUUUAAAAUAAUUUCUAUUAUAUUUGAUUUUCGUUUCUAUUCUUCAUUGCCUUUAAUUUUCUUGACAAUUUCCAUUUGAAUAGUGGAUCCUGUCCUUGAAGGUAAGGAUCAUUUCAACCCACGAGAGUUUGUUUAAUGAUGUGAUUUAAAAACACUUUUCUUUUUUUGAUGAUAAAAAACUAUUUUAAAAAAUUUAUGGUUGGCUUAGAAGUCAUUCUCUAGAUAUUGUUUUCAAAAAUAAGUUGAAAUAAAUAAUAAUUUUCAAGGAACCCGUAGAAGUUAUUUUCACAUGUUUAUAAAAACAAAAAAAAAAAACAUGGAGAAAUAAUUUUAUUAAACCAAUAAAAGGCACAUAAGUAUGAUGUGAUCUCUUUCUUCUUUGAUUCUUUCUUCACCAAUAAAUAUCAAAAUUCUUUAAAUAUGAUUUAUUUCUUAAUUAUAUGUGCUUUUUUGAAUUUUCUUUAACUUCUUAAAUUUUUAAUUAGAUAAAAAAAUUUCAAAUCAAAUAAUACUUAAUACAUAUGAUUUACUAAUUUUUAAAAAUAAUUUAAAACUCAAAAACCAAUCCAAUUAGUGUUAGAAAGUUAGUGAACUCAAUCUAAUUGACAUCAGAAAUUCACAUACUAAUCUUCAUUAUGAAUUACUUUGUUAGUUUCUCUUUUACAUAUGAAUAUAUGUUUGUUAAUUUUUCUUUUUUACUAAGUAAAUAAAUUUCAAAUCAAAUGAAACUUUAUGUUUUUUAUUUAAAAUUCACAUACUAAACUCUAUGUUUUGCUAAUAAUUUAAAACUUAAAGUAAUUACUUAAUUAAUAUAAUAAAUUUGUGGACAAAAAUUAGUUUACAAUCAUUUUAUUCUUUCCCUUCUACACAGAACCAUAAUUUUUUUUUUAAAAUUUCUAACUAAACAAACAUAUUUCAAAUCAAACAAGAUUUGAUGCAUUGGAUUCAUUACCAAGUUUAUUAAUUUUUUUUAGAAUAAUUUAAAAUUCAAAACACAGCACAAUUGCUAGUGGAAAUUCACAAACUUAAAUUGGUCCAAAAUGAAUAUUUUAUUUUUCUCAUACAAAACUAUAUUUUUAUGAGUUUUAUCACUAGAAAAAUGGAUUUUGAAUAAAAUAAAACUUAAUUUCUUGAACUUAUUAAUGAGUUUAAUAAUUUUUAAAAAUAAUUUAAAAUUCAAGAAAUUUUCAAAUCACUAUAAAAAAUAACCAAAACUAAUACAUAAUAAGUUUUGACUUUAUUAUUUCUUCUAAGCACCUAAUUAUAUUUUUUGAAUUUUAUCACUAGGUAAAUAGAUUCUAAAUCAACCGAGACUUAAUGUUUUAAAUCUUUAAUAAAUCUUCUUACUUUUAAGAUAAUUUGAAAUUAAAAAAAAUGAUCUAAUUAAUUGUAGAUUAAACCAAAACUAAUCCAAAAUACUAUGUACAUAAGUGAAUACUAAAGGUGUAGAUGUAAUGAAAAACUUUGCAUAUUUAAAUAUUAAAAAAAUAUUUAAAUUUAUUUAUUUUUAUUUAUUUUAAAUAAACUACUAUGAAUUUAAAAUUAUUAUAUUUUUUUUGAAUAAUAAAUCCAUUAUGCUUUAGAAAGAUGUUGAGAUCCAGAUUUUUAUAAUAUAUAUUAAAAUACUAUCAUUUUAUAUAUAUAUAUAUAUAUAUAUAUAUAUAUGAAAAAGAUUUUAAUACUAAAGUACUAAAAAUGAUUUGUUUUUAAAUUUAUUUGUAAUUAUAAAACUAUUAGUACUGAAUAAAAUAUGAAUUCAAUUUCAUUAAUAUUAUAUAUAAAUUGAAUUAACAAAUUUUUUGACAAAAUUUAAAUAGUAAAUUUAUUUUUAAAAAUAAUUUAUCCAAAUGAGUAUUUUUUUUUUUUUAUUUGUUGAAAAGUGAUUUUAAAAGCAAGUUAUCAAGUACCAUUGUUUUUGAAAAAUACUAAAAAAUAUGGUAUUUGUUCUUUAAUUUAAAAAUAUAUUUUAAAAAUAAGUAUAAAAGUACAGUGCUAAACCGAUCUUAAAAUUUGAAUAUGUACAAAGCAUAUAGGAGGUGAGCAAUCAGGAAUACAAAGAAUUGACUAAGAUUCCAUUAAACAGUUUUUUUUCAAGAAGCACUCAAAGUAAAUUUUUAAUUUUUUUAAAAUGGUUAAAUUUUUGUUCAAAAACAUUUUUUUUUUUUCAAGUCUGCUUUCUAAACUCACUGCCAAAAUUAGUCAUGCUUUUAGGAUUUAAAAAUUAAACUCAGUUCCAACAUUGAAAAUCAAACAUGAAUAUCGUUGAUUAAUGAAAGAUUAAUUGAGAAUUCAGAUAUUAUAAAUGAAUGAGAGCAACUGAAACGGAAGAGAUGGAGUAGUUACAUACCCAUGCUCCACAUGCCAUCCAGCCAGAGAGCCAGCUUUCGUCAGUGCCGCCUUCCAUCUCUGCACCCUCUCCUCAGCGACUUCUCCGUAUCCUGCAAAUGCUUCUCCAAAACUGCCCCUUUGUUUCCGCACAUCAGACGGAUCCACAUGGUAGAAAACUGGUAAAACUAAUUGUCCCUUUUCCAUGGACUGCAUGAUCUUAUCAAGCUCAUCCAAGCACCAUUUUGAAUGAGCAUAGUUUUUCGAAAAAACGACAACAGAAAUACUUGAAUCUUCAAUAGCUUUCAAGAGUGAAGGUUGAAUCUCUCCUCCUCUUUCAAGUCCUUCAUCAUCUCUGAAGGUGCGAAUACCCGUCCGUCUCAACUUUUUAUAAAGAUGAUCCGUAAAAUUGAAACGGGUGUCUUCGCCUCUAAAGUUCAAAAAGACAUCCCAACGCCAUGGAAAAGGAGGAGAGAGAGUUGAUCUAGUUAAGCUUCUCUUUCUCUUUGGAGCCAUAGUCGGGGACGUUGUUUGUCCAAAAUUACAGAGACACUCAGGAAAUUUUUGGGUUGUUAAGUGUCAAAAACUCAAAAUUUCAAGAGAGUCAGAAGAUUUAUCCCUCUACCUUCUAAAAUUGGAACUUCCUCCCAUCCUCCGACCAACUUUAAUCUUCAUUUUUUCUUUUUAAAAAACGCGUGUCUUGGUCAAAAAGAAAAAACGUGUGGGGACGCUGAAUGGGGCAAAAUCCUCUCUUAAACGACUACAUCGUUUUAAAAAACGAAAAAACAAAGAAUUAAAACAGAUGAAAUAAUCCCGCUAACCUCCUACAAUUCCAUAAUUACCCCUUAGGUGACCCCCCUUUUCCCUGUUAGGGACAAUUUUACUCAAGGUCUUACUUAAAUACCAUUAUUGGUUUGAAAAUUUAUCAAAUAUCAUAAUUAUUUUGAAUUAGAAGGGAGUUCAGUGAAAAAUCAAAUAAGAAGGAUUUGAGAGAUGUGUGAUGAAAAUUUCAAAUCAAUAAAAAUUAAAUGUAUUUAGUUAAAACCUUAUAAAGAGUCUAUAAAAUUAACUUUUUUUAACUAUUUUAGAAUGGCGAUAUAAGCCAACCCUCUUUUUUGUCAAAUCCAUGUAAAAAAAAUAUUGAGUUUGCCCUCUUCCAUUAAAAUAAUAUUCUAAAUUUAUUAUUAUUAUUAUUAUUAUAUAAAGUAUAACCUCUUUUUAAUUUAUUUGAAUAUAUUUAUAAAUAAAAAAUCUGUUUGGCUCUUUAUGAAAAAUAUAAAUAAUUUUGAAAUAUUUAUAAUUUUAUUAAAUGUCUGGAAAUGAAUUUUAGCUAAAUAAAGGAUAAAAUGCUGUUUUAUUAUUUUCUCAUCAUGUGAUUAAUUGGCAGUUGAAAAAAUAGUGAAAAAAAAAUAAUAACAAAAUACUAGAAAGGACAGUCUUCUAUUUUGUAAUAAAAUAAUGAGAUUGAAUUCUCAAUAUCAAAAAACCCCUCUGAUGUUACUAAAAUUAUAUUGUUAGAUAAUUAUAUACUUUUGUAAAUAUAAAUAUUAUCCAUUUAUUUAUCAAAUUAUAAAAAUAUUAUUAUUAUAGUGAAUAAGUUUCCUUAUUUAUUUCAAACUUCAUAAAAUAAAUCAUAAAUUAAAAAAGAAAAAACAGUUCAUCUUUUCCUAUCCAUUUAUUUAUCUAUAUAUGUGUGUGACUAUGAAUAUAUUUAUUUGGAUUUCUAUAAUGUGGAAGAGCAUGUUUGAAGACUCUUUCUUAUAUUUUCGUCAGGGUGGCUGAAAUGAUCCGAGAAUUGCGUUUAUCAAUGUUUAGAUGAUGAUAUUUGGUGAGGUUUGGAUGGUGAUGGUGAUGGUGAUGUUACUCGACAAUAGAGAAUCCACAUCUCAACAUCAGGAGCAAAGGUAAGUUCUCAUCGCAUGCUUUGCUUGAUCUCCACCAAGUGCCCAUCUCAUUAAACAAAUGGGUUAGAUGAUAAACUAUAUUUAAUUCCCGUAUUUGUGAGCCCAAAGGCAAUCCUUGAGUCCAGAAUAGAAAAAUAAGGUUGCUUCAAACGUAAAGUUAUUGCUAACGACCGUUUCUUUAGGAAUAUUUUUUUUCUGACAAGUGGGUCUCUAUAUAUUAAGAGAUUAGAAAACAAAAUAGAAUGGGUUGGAGACCAUUGGAUAUGCUUUUGUCCUCUCCAAUCAAGAGAGGGUUAGUCAUGGGGCUCAAACUUAAUGGCUAUAUCAUAAGAUUGGCUGUAUGGAAGCUAGCUGUAUCAAAGCGACAACCACUUCAUGGGUUCCACUGGAGUAAUUUGAUUUUAAGUUAUUUAAUAUCUACUUAACCCAAUCUGAAGCUUUAAUAUACUACCAUCUAAGUGAUGAAAUUUUCAUCUGUUUCUUUCAUCAGUGCCAGUGCCAGGUUAAUUUUCGGAUUCUAUGUUCCGCUUCAUCCUUGAAGCAUACGCAAUUAAAUAUAGUUGGAUUGGUAGUGGGGGUUCCUCUUAAGGUAUUAGUUUAAAAUAAAAUUUUAUUAUUCUACAAAGAGCAUGUCAUAGAGCUUUGAUCGGGUCUUGCCCGGAUUCCAGUACAACGCUUGGACUGGAAAAAGCUAAAAUAUAAUAUAACACAAAACGUAAUAUUUUUUAUAAAUUAUUCAUUUAUUGAAAAAUCAAUAACUUCAUUAAGAUAAUAAUUUCUCUGGAUCUCAAAAGUAUUAUUUAGAAUUAUAAUAGACAAAAUGUAAUAGGAAAAGUUUAUAAUAAGAAAUAAAAUAAUAUUUUAUAUUUUAUAUUUAGUUCUUUAUAACAUAUUUAAUCAUAGGAUAAGUCCCAACAUAACUUAUCUAACAUCACCUCUAUAUUCCUCCUCAUAAAAUAUAAUAAUCAAAGUUGAAUGCAUAUCUUAUAUCUUAUGAAUCCUCAAAAUUUUUAAUUUUGAUGUCAAUUAUUUUUUGUAUAGUUAAGAUAAAGAAAUUUGAAUAUUAAUAUUUUAAAAAAUAAUAAUUUAACAUAUUUCCAAAUAUCUAAAAAUACAAAUUUUUUUUCCUAUUUAUAUAAUGAAGAUAAUAAUUCAAAAGCUAAUAAUUUAAAAGAACAAAGUAAUUUAAUAUGUUUUGAAAUAUGAAAUAUCCCAAAAUUGGUUACAAUAAUUAAAAUUUUAUAAUAUUUAGUGAUUUAAUUGAUUAGUAAAUUGGUCAUUGGUUAAUAAUCUAUAUUUUCCUAUUUUAUAUAAUAAAGAUAUGAUAUUUGAAAAUUAAUAAUUUGAAAAAAAAAUAAUUUAACAUAUUUCAAGAUAUAACAAAAUAGCAAAAUUGAUUACAAUAACAAAAUGUUGGUUAAUGAUUAGUAAUGUAAUUAAUAAAAAAAAUUGAUAAUUGGGUAAUAAUUAUUGUUCCUAAUAAGGUGUCAUCCUAAAAAAAUAUUAAAUCCUUGUAAGUUAAAUUUCAUUAAUUACUUAUUGAUUUUUGUUAAUAAAAUAUGUGUUCAUGAAAUUAAUUUAUUAAUUUCUUGUUCUUAAUUUAAGGAAGGGUAUCAAAUCUUACGAUUUUUUUUAAUUAAUUGGAAUAGUUUAUUCUAGUAGAUAUUUAUAACAUUAUGAGUUGUGUUUUGAACUUCUAACUGAAGAAAAUUCAUUGAUUAUGAGACAAAAAUAUUAGUUUAUGUGGUUGAAUCUUAGUUUGAAUCUUGGAAUUUUAUGGACAUAUUUUAGAUUUGUUUCUUAAUUUAGGACAAAGAUAAAACAUUUUAUAUUUUCCAAAGUGGAAAAACAAACAUUUAUGUUUAAGUUUUAAAGAAGAAAUAUAAACAAGCGUAAGCAAUUAUAUAGUCAAGAAAAUAAACAAGCCGAGAGCAACCUGAGAGCUCAUGGAAAACAAUUGUCUCAAUUUCUUAUUAUUUUUUAUUAUUAGGUGCAAAAUUCUUCGGCAAAAAUCUUGUAGUUGUCUUACAUGCCACCUUGCUAAAAAGUAUAUAAUUAAGUUGAAAAAUAAAGUCUUGGUCAAAAUAAAAAAGCAUGUGGGGGACCUUGUCUCAAAUCAAAAACAAAGGAAAUGAUGUGCGGGGACCUUCAAUGGGGGCAAACUAGUCUAUAAUUAUUCUUUCGCUCAUGCAUUUAUUAUCUUUCUCAAUGUUUUUAGAAUUGGAUUAGAGUUCAAUAAUCUGAAUUAAAUUUUUAGUAGUGAUGUGCCUUGUGGUUAAUUUAACCUCACAAUGAGGUGUUUCACAUAUUUGUGGGAAUAACCAUCCAUAUAUAGUCUAAGGAGACUUGGGAUAUAUUGCAAGUAACACAUGAGGGCUCAAUACCGUGAAAAUAUCAAAACUUCAAAUGCUCAUGGCUGCUUUUGAGUUGAUUCACAUGGCAAUCGGGUAAGAUAUGCUUGAUUAGGAUGGCAAUCGGGUAUGUUUGGAUGUGCCACCCUCAUCCUAAUUCCAUCCUAAUUAUAUAUAUUAUAACAAAAAACAAGAAGGCUUUCUGCUUUCCCAAUAAAUCGAAAAGGAUAACUACAAUUUUAUUUAGAUGCACAAAUUAGCAGCAAAACCUUGAAACUAUGAAUCAAUUUUGUCUAUAUUUUUCUCCAAAAAAUCCUACUUAACGUAAUCAUAGCACAUAUUGUGGGAAUUCCUGACUGAAUAACCAUUCCAAGUUGAGAUGCCCCAUAAAUUGUAAGAUAGUAAAUCUGAAAAAUACCAUUCAGAAAUUACUGAUAAUGGGGCAUAAAUUCUGCAGCUUCAGAUAUAUUAUGUCUAAAUAAGAAGACAAAAAGGAAUCCAAUUAUUAAAAUAGAUAAACGUUUCAAACUGAAAAAUGAAAAUUUAGUAAGCAUGAACCACUCUCUGAAGUCGGUGUGUGAUAAUGGGGAAGGUGAUAAAAAUAGUGUGUGAAUGCAACUUAUAGCUGGUCUUGUUCUUGCUUUUAGCUGAUCUUAUAGUUAAAAUAGUGUGUGAUCGCCCCUAGAUGCCUAGAGUAUUGGCUGAAGGAGGAGAGAAAAGGAAGGACAUCAACUUUCAUAAACGUUAAUCUUCUCCCAGAUGUGUCAUUCUUGAUUACUCUAUUAGAGGUAUUUUAGCAGUCCAUAGUGUGUAAAAUGGUCAAUUCCUUUGUUCAGACAUUUAAUCCAAAUAGUGAAUUUCAAGUGUAGGGGUUUCAAAUUCUCAAAUCCUAAAAAUCCAGAACAAUGUUGCUGAGCACAUUUAAUAUUUUUGUUAAAUAGCACAAAGAAAAAAAGAAAAGAAAAUUGAAAAAAAAAAAAGAAAAAAAAGAAAUCCUCCCAAAGAAUUAAUUUCAGUUGCUUCAAUAACUUUGGCGUACGGAAGUGAGGAGAGAAACAGAGGUGACUUAUCAUUAAUUAUUUUGGCGUACGGAGCCAUUCCUGGUGGCACUUCGGAAAUUUUCCAUAUUGUUACCACUUGUAUUUGGGGCAUAUAUAAGACGGAUCGCACACUUUUUCACCUCAUGCGAUGCCCCUGAUAGACUAAAAGAAGCCUCGAUGUGCUUGAACACACUGGCAUAGGUAGACUUUGAUUUCACAAAUUGACUGCGAGGUUGAUACAUCAUACACACGUGAUCCGUCUCAACAACUCGGUCUCCACUGUGUGUCCAAGUGAUGGAAUGACUGAAAUAAGGCCCUUCCCCGCAUUCAAAAAUACAGCGAAUCUCACCAGGCCGCUGAAUAGUUUCGCCCUCCUCAAGUGCAAACACAGCACAUAGAGCAACCCCCAAGAAGUUAUUGUCAAGCCAAUGUGGACGCAGGGUUGCUGAAACUGAAGCUCCCAUAUUCUCAUGCCAGCGCCCCUUUGGAAUCCUACUUCCAGGAAUCAAAAUACUGUACCCUAUUUCUGGAAAAAGUUUCUGCACCAUGCAGUUUAUAAUGUUAAUAUAAUAAUACCAUUGAGAGAGAGAGAGAGAAAGAAAGAAAGAGAGAGAGAGAGAGAGAGAGAGACCUGAUGAAGUGUCUCUAAUGCCAUUGCCACAUGAUCCUGAUAUAGUCCGGAGCAAUUCCAUAGCAUGAAUUCCACAGGACGAAGCCAAGUGGAAACCAACCGGUGUUGUAGGCUUAUCAUCCAAGAUGGAGUCGAUAAAGACCUCAGGGAUGUGCAAUCACAGGCAUCUAAUAAUUUUAUGUUUGGUGGAAGCUUCGGAAUUUUUUGAAGUUUCUCACACUGCCUCACCAAAAGAACUUUCAGAUUAGAAAGUCUACUGAUGUCUGCAGGUAUGCUAACCAUAUAGUUUCUGCUGAGGUUUAAUACUUCCAGAAGCUCCAAGUGGCAAAGCUUGUUAUCGAUUGUUCCUUCCAUUAAAUUGCAGUCACUUAGAUCUAAAUUUUUCAUGAAGCGUAGACCUGACAAAGAAGGCAACUGCAAACCAAUAUCAUCUGAAUUUUCUCUAUGCAGUAACCUGAAUGUAAGGGAUGAGAUCCAGAAGUUAGAUGUUGAUCCUUUGCAUCCCCUAAAUGAUAACUCUCUAAGGUUUGUCAAAUGAACAAGUGUGAUGGGUGGUUUUGUUAUGGCAGUUCCAUCAGCUUGAAGACUCCUUAAGCAUUGCAACAUUCCCAGGUCCUCUGGCAAUCUGUUGAGUUUUGAGCAACCAGAAACAAUGAGGGUUUCAAGAGAUUUCAAACCACAAAUUCUAUUUGGAAGACUCCUGAGGUCUUUGCAUUUUCUCAGAUUCAGUAACACAAGACCUUUGAGAUGAAGAAUUGAACAGGGCAGCUCUCUUAUAGAUGUUCCAUCUAAAAGAAGCUCUUCUAAAUGUUCCAUAACUUCCGUGAUCUCUGGAAUUCUCUCUAGUUUUGAACAGCCAGAAAGGAUGAGAGUUUUGAGGGAUUUCAAAUCACAAAUUCUGCCAGGAAGGAUCUUAAGGUUUUUGCAGCUUUUCAUAUUUAAUAAAACAAGCCCUCGGAGAUACCCAACCGAUGAGGGAAGUUCAAUGAUAGCAGUGCCUUCCAAAUAAAGCUCCAAUAAAGACUCCAUAUUGGCUUCGAUGUCUGGAAACUUCUCAAGUCUUGAGCACCCUGAGAGGUUAAGAACUUCAAGUUUUUUUCCAAUCCAAUGAUUCUGGGAAAAUAGUAAAGCAUCCUGCAGUUUCCCAAAUUCAAGAUCUUAAGAUUUUUCAGCCUAGGAAUUGAUGGGUGCACCUCAUGCAAGCUUGUACAACCAUCCAGAUUUAGUGUCUCCAGAGAUGGUGCACCAGACACGUCCGGACAUUCAACCAGGUAUGGAGAGUGACUGAGAUCCAUGACCUUUAAAUUUUCAAGACACUGUAACAUAAAAAUAAAAUAAAAAUUGUUGAAUAAAUUUUCUUGGAAGAACUUCAAAAUUUAUUGAGAAUAAGUAGUGAUCAUACCUUGUUCCCUUUCCAAAGGUGGUUUAAGCUGCUAUGCUUCAAACUGAGUUCAACCAGUUUCUUACCAUUAAAAUUUGACGGCAACGAUUCCAGACUCCAUCCAUCCCAAUGAAGAUAUCUUAAUUCAUAGGAAGGAAAUUCGAAUUCUUCGGGAAGGUGCACUGUGUUAGAAUCAUAUGAUGAAAGUCCAUCCCAAUAGACCCUGAGGAAUCGAAGUUUUGUCAUAUUUUUAAAAGCUUCAGUCGUAAUCUGUAUUUCUUUUGAUGCCGACACAUCAAAGGAUAUUCCUUCGAUUGCCUCUGUCCCCUAAAACCAACAACAGAGGAUAAGUGAAGCACAAAAUGCUUAAAAUCAUAUACAUAAGCAACUUCUUAAGUGAAAUUAAAUGCCUUAAAAGUUUAAAUAAGUUCAGGCACUUGUCUCUUAAAGUUUUUUGUGUCAACACAGCAUGAACAUCUUCUGGAUUCCACAAUCUACUCCAUUUGCCAGGUUGUCCAGGAAAUUCUCCCCGAAUGAUUUCCCAACCCAUUUUUUGCAUCAAAUCAUGCAUUUCUAUCUUGUUGUCUAAAAUACUGAUGAGAGAACAAUCUUUGAGAACUUCCAUUCCAAUUGUAGAGAAGUUGCAACUAUCAAGUAUUCUUCCAACAGAAUCUGAGUCCUUCCCUCUGAAGAACAUGCAAUAUCAAGGAAUAGAUCCUUUUCUGUGUGAUCCAGUCUAUCGUAACUUAAUCUAAGCACUUUUUGGACAUUCCUUUCCCCUACUGUUUGUAGCUUAAGCAGUGUAUUUUCCCAUUCAAGCUUCCUCCUACCAUACAGGAGAGAUCCCACAACUUUAACAGCAAGCGGAAGUCCAUCACAGUAAUUUAAUGCACGUCCGGAGAGGUCCCAAAACCCAUCGCGAGGAAGGUCUGCCUUGAACGCCCACAAACUAAACAGUUGAAGAGCUUCCUCAGAGUUUAAUUUCUCAACCUCAUAUAAUUCAUCAACUUCAUGCACAUCGAGUAAAUGUUUAUUUCUCGUUGUUAUGAUAAUUCUACUACCUGAACCAAACCAGUGAUGGCUCCCUGCCAAGAAUUCUAAUUGAGUCAAAGCACUAACAUCAUCUAGAAUGAUAAGAACCUUUCUAGAGCAAAGCGUCUUCUUUAUCAAGCUAAUGCCUUCAUCAAUGUUGCUUAUGCGUGCAAUUUUUGGCCAUAGGAUAUCUUCUAGAAGUUGUCUUUGUAAUUCAAGCGAUCCACGGUGUUCCUCUACCUCUGCAACAUUUGAAAGAAAUCUAGCAUCUUCGAAUUGAUGAGCAAUUUGGUUGUAUAUUCCUUGGGCGAGGGUAGUCUUGCCUAUUCCAGCAAUUCCAUGUAUUCCUAUCAUUCAUUCGAACAUCAUUUGACUCCAUACAUAAUCGUGACGACAUUUCUUCCAAACGGGAAUUGAUUCCUACCAGGUUGUCAGGAAGAUAUAAGAGUUCAGGACGACAGUUCAGCAUUUUCGAAAUGCGUCGAACAAUUCCUUGAAUAAUCUGAGAUUCAUACCUGCCAAAUAAAAAGCACAAUAUACGAACGGCAAAUUAAUUAUAAGAAAGGCAGGGAAAAAAAUAAAUUGAUGAUGUUUAAUUUCAAUAUUUGUCAUGCUAUCAAUUGAUUUAUCCUAAUGCCUAAUUCUGAUCAAUAGUACUAUCAUGGAGACAAAAUACUAUCAUUUUGUGUAUAUAUAUAUAUGAAAAGGAUUUUAAUACUAAAGUACUAAAAAUGAUUUGUUUUUAAAUUUAUUUGUAAUUAUAAAACUAUUAAUAAUGAAUAUAAUAUGAAUUCAAUUUCAUUAAUAUUAUAUAUAAAUUGAAUUCACAAAUUUUUUGACAAAAUUUAAAUAGUAAAUUUAUUUUUCAAAAUAAUUUAUCCAAAUGAGUAUUUUAUUUUUUAUUUGUUGAAAAGUGAUUUUAAAAGCAAGUUAUCAAGUACCAUUGUUUUUUAAAAAUACUAAAAAAUAUGGUAUUUGUUCUUUAAUUUAAAAAUAUAUUUUAAAAAUAAAUAUAAAAAUACAGUGCUAAACCAAUCUUAAAAUUUGAAUAUGUACAAGCAUAUAGGAGGUGAGCAAUCAGGAAUACAAAGAAUUGACUAAGAUUCCAUUAAACAGUGUUUUUUCAAGAAUCACUCAAAGUAAAUUUUUAAUUUUUUAAAACUAGUUAAAUUUUUGUUCAAAAACAUUUUUUUUAGAAUGUUUUUCUAUUUUUGAAAUUAAAACCCUGUUUUAAAAAAUUUAUGGUCAGUUUGGUGGUCAUUCUCUACAAAUAAUCUUUAAAAAUAAGAUGAAAUAAAAAACAAUUUUGGAGAACAAGUAAUAGAAGUUAUUUUUACAUAUUUAUAAAAACAAAGAAAAGCAUUGGGAAGUAAUUUAAAAAAGAAAACAAUAAAAAAUUAAACAAAGUCCAGUAGAUGUCUUUCUUCUUUUAUUCUCUCUCCACCGAUCAGUAUCAAAAUUUUUAAAUAUGAUUCCUUUUUAAUUACACUUUAUUUAUUUAUUUAUUUAUUUGAAUUUACUUUAACUUUUAAAUUUCUUUAGAUAAAUAAAUUCCAAAUCAAAUGGUACUUGAUAUAUAUGAUUUAUUAAUUUAAAAAAAAAUUAAAACUCAAAAACCAAUCCAAUUAAUAUUGGAAAGUUACAAAACUCAAAACCAAUAUAGAAAACAAAUUUUGUUAAUUUUUUUACCAAGCAAAUGAACUUCAAAUCAAGCAAAACUUCCUAUAUUUUUUUUAUUCAUAAAUAAGUUUAGUAAUUUUUUAAAAUAAUUUUAAACUCAAAUAAUAACUAAAUUAAUAUAAAAAAAUUAUAAACAAAAAUUAGUUUAAUAUGACUUUAUUAUUUAAUUAAUGUGUAGAAUCAUUUUUUCUUUAAUUUGUUAGCAAGUUUAUCAAUUUGAAAAAAAAAUAGAAUUCAAAACACAACACAAUUAGUAGUGGAAAUUCACGAUCUAAAUUCUAUCCAAAAUGACUCUUAUAUUUCUCAUACAUAACUUUAUUUUUAUGGGUUUUGUCGUUGGAAAAUGGAUUUUUAAUAGAAUUAAAAAAUAGACGCAAGUACUAUAAAAAAUAAUAAACCAAAAUUACUAUAAAAAAUAAUAAACCAAAAUUAAUACAUAAUAAGUUAUAACUUACUGUUUCUCCUAAGCGCAUAACCAUAUUGUAGACCCCUUUUUUAUGAGGGGCCCCUGGGGGGGGGGGGGGGCCUUUUCUCCAAGAGGGAACCAGAUGGGACGGGCAGCCAGAGAGGAAUGGCAGCCAUGAAGGUGGUUAGGAGGCAAUGCUGCUGAGGUGAUGAACAGCAAAUGGGGGUAAUGGCUUGCCUAGGAAGAUAGCACCUGCUGCCGGGGGACAAAAGAGGUGGGGGGAUCUGAAAAAGGAAAAAAAAAAAAAAAAAAAGGAGAGAACGGAACUGGAGGGGGAAGCUCGGAAGGCAAAACGGGAGAGAGCUAGCCAGAGAUAGGAGGAAACACGCCGGUGAGACAUCUUGAAGGAGGUUGUCCCAGGUAUCAUUUCCAUAUGUUGUUGAUGCUUUCUUGUUCACGCCAUUCUGUCAUUUUUUUUUGGGUAUUGUGAGAUCCUAUUCUGGUGUCUGAAUGUGAGCAUAGGAGAUCCUUACGUAUUGCUUUUAACAUCUGAGUUUGAUCACACCUAUUUUAUGCUUGAUUUCUAUGUCUUCUUGGCUCUGUUUUGAAGAUUUCAUAUGAGGUAUUUGCAGUCCCUCCACCAUACCCAUCAAUUAAUACUUUGCCAUCUUCAUUUCCUCCGCUUGCCACCCUCCAUCAUCCACUCCCCACCGCCUAGUUUUCCUUUCUCACUCAGCGCAUAAGAAGCAUGCAUGCAUGGCUGCCUUCACUUCCCCACACCCAUCUUCAUACCCAUGCUCCAAUAUUCGUCAAGCUCAUCCCCCCAUGCUUGCAUGGCCACACGAAGCUGCCAUCGCUCCAUCCCAACCCUGCAACAUCCAUGCAAACACCCAUCUUUCCAUACCCAUCUCCACGCCAAUCCCACCCCUCGCCACCUUUUUUUCUCUAUGCCCGCGUAUCCACCAUCACUCACACCUCCAUGCGCGCGAGUCCUCUUCAGUGGCUGGGGAACGGGCAACAGCCAAGCAAGCCUUCCAUUCCCCACAGACCUCGCCGGAGCCGCCUUUGGGGUUCAGCGCCGCUGCUUCGGUUCGGGGCGCCUCUCUCUAGGCUAUCGACGGCGGCCUGCUCGCCGUCCUCUUCGACUGCUCCCGCGGCGUGGUCGACGACGCCAUCGGCGGAGACGUCCACCUAUUGGUGUCGUGGCUUCGAAAGCCAUGUGUCUCCACCGUCUCGGCGCCGCCAUCCCUGCCCCUCUCCUCUACGUCGUUGCUGGUGGAGCCUUCGCCUAAAGGAGUUGCCCAGAUGGAGAGGGAUGCCUUGGGCUGUGAAGGAGCUUGUGUGGGUGACGGGCUUGGUUUUGCCCAUGAUGGCUUUGGGCUUGGGUUUGAAUUUGAAGCCCAGGCCCAAGCCUAUGCUGAAGAUGGAGCCUUGAGUCUUGCCCAUUGAUGUCAUUGGACUUGGGCUUAAGUUGGAGCCCAGGCCCAUUUACGUUGAUGAAGGCCUUAUGCCUGCCACCCUCAUUAAGGUGGCCCAGGUCCAUGUCAAUUAGCCCAUUAGGUUGCCCCCAAAUUCUAAACAAUUUUCUAAAAAAAAAACCUCUAAUAUCCAUAAUUAAUUAGUUUGUUCAUCCCCAUUUAUUUGCUAUCUAAGUUUAUGUCUACCAACUUAGUUAACUCAUACUUAAAGACGAAUUAUUAUUGUUAAUUAUAUUUUUAUCUCAAAAUUUAUACUAUUCAAUUUCACUAGCUUAAACAUUAUGAUUAUUAAUUAUUAUUUCGCGUGUAUCUAUUUGUCAUCUUAAACAAAAAAUCUCAGUCAUCAAAGUUAAAUUCUAAUCCUUGAAAAAUCUCAUAUCCUAAUCUAAUCUUUCAAUAAUCUAUUUAAAUCCCAUUUUCAUCAAAUAAGAAUUAUUACCAUAUAUUAUCCAGCUAUUUAAAGUCUAAGGCUUUCAAAGAAAUCAUGUGUCUUAAUUAAAUUCUUCAAUAAUUAUUUCAAAUUUCAUUAUCAUCCAUUAGAGUUAGUAUCUCAUAUUUAUUUACUAAUUUAAAAUCCAACCCUUCAGAAAUCCGAUGUCCUAACUUAAUUUUCAAACCCUUAAAAAUUUCACUAUUCUUUUUAUUCCGUUCUAAAUGAUUAUUUUCGUUAAUUAGUAUUAUUAUCCUAUAUUAGUUUAUUUAUCCAAAAUCCAAUCCUUUAAAAAGAUCCAAUGUCACAAUUUAAUUAUCAAUCCUAAAAUUCUACUAUUUGGCUAAAUGUUAUUUCCUUUCAUUUGAAUUAGUAUCCUAUAUUCAUUUACUUAUUUAAAGUCUAAUCCCUCGAAAAUCUAACUCCCUAACUUAAUUUUUCAAUUCUAAAAAUUCCGCAAUUCGCUCAAAUCUUAUUUUCAUUAGAAUUAUCCUCCCCUAUUUACCUAUCUAUUUAAAGUCUAAUCCUUCGAAAAUCCCGUGCCUUAACCUAAUUUUUGAAUAAUUCGUUUAAACCUUAUUUUCAUCAAUUAAAAUCAUUAUCUCAUAUUUAUUUUAGUAAUUUAAUCUUUCAAUAAUCUGUUUAAAUCUUGUGUUCAUCAAUUGGAAUUAUUAUCCUAUAUUCAUCCAUCUAUCUAGUCUAAUCCUCCAAAAAUCCCAUGUUUUAAUUUAAUUCUUCAAAAUACUUGUUUAAAUCAUAUUUUCGUAAAUCGAAUCUAUAUCCCGUAUUUAUUAUCUAUUUAAAGUCUAAUCCAUCAAGAAAAUCCCAUGCUUUAAUUUAAUCUUUCAAUAAUCCGUUUAAAUCUUAUGUCCAUCAAUUGGAAUUAUUAUCCUAUAUUCAUCCAUCUAUCUAGUCUAAUCCUUCAAAAAUCCCAUGCUUUAAUUUAAUUCUUCAAAUAUUCGUUUAAAUCUUAUUUUCAUCGAUCAGGAUUAUUAUCCCAUAUUCAUCUAUUUAUUUAAAAAUUAGUUCUUCAAAAAUCUCAUGUCUUAAUUUAAUUUUUCAAUCCUAAAAAUUCUACAAUUCGUCUAAAUUUUAUCCUCACCCAUUAGAAUCAUUAUUCCAUAUCUAUUCAAAGUCCAAUCUUUCGAAAACCCCCUGUCUUAACUCAACUUUCGAUCCCAGAAAUUCCAUUAUUCGUCUAAAUUUUAUUUUUGUUAAUUAGGAUUCUUGUUCCACAUCUAUUUAUUUAUAUAGGAUCCAAUUCUUCAAAAAUCCAAUUUAUGAAUUAAAACUUCAAUCCCGAAAAUUCUACUACCCAUCUUUAUUCGCCUAAAUAUUAUUCUCGUUAAUUAGUAUUAUAAUCUCAUACCUACCUAUUUACUCAAAGCCUAAUCCUUUAAAAAUCCAACGCCCUAAUUCAAAUUUUCAAUUAGAAAAAUUCCACUAUUUUAUUUAUUUAUUUUAUUCGUUUAAACAUUAUUUUUGUUAAUAAGUAUCAUUAUUCCAUAUUUGUUCAUUUAUUUAUUUCAAUCAUUAAAAUUCAACUCUUCAAAACCGGAUUUCCAAAUUUAACCUUUAGACUAAAAAAAUUCCACCAUUCACUUUUAUUCACUUAAAUAUCAUCUUUGUUAUCAUUAUUAUAAAUUCCACGUUUACUUGUUUCUUUCUUCUAAAAAUUCUAAUAAUUAGAGUUCAAUUAUUCAAAGGCCCGACUUUUAAAAAUUAAUUUUCAAAAUCCCACUAUUCACUUUCAUCCGUUCAAAUAUCACUUUCGUCAAAAUCCGAUUUUCCAAUUUAAUUUUUAAUCUCACAAAUCUCACUAUUCAGUAUUCAUCCAUCCAAAUAUCGUUUUGAUUAAUUAGUAACAUUAUUCCAUACUUACCCAUUUAUUUCUCUUAAAAAUUUCAAUCAUUAAAGUCUAAUUCUUCAAAAUUCCGAUUCCUAAAUUUAGCUAUUUGAAAUUCCAAUUGUCCUAUCUCCGAACUUAAUUUUCAGUUUCUCAUGCUCCAAUUCCCGUAUUUAUCCCGUUACUUAUUAUUAUCAUUAUCAUUAUCAUCUUAUUCAUUAUUUCUAUAAAUUCUGCCUUCGAAUGAUUUCUAAGAUUUCCAAUUUUUAUACAUCAACUUUCAUAAUUUCUACGUCUCAAAUAACUUACGAUUCUGAUCCCUUUCGAAAUUUAACUCCCAUAAUCCCAAUUUUCGUAACUUAAUUUUUCUUUAAAAUCCCGAACUUUCAAAUAAUCCUUCAAAAUCCCAAUUUUCUUUCAAAUUUAAUUUCUAAAAGUUCUCAUUCUUACAUUUAAUUCCUAAGAAUCCAAUUUUCAAAUAAACUCUAAGAUUCCGAUUCUCAAAUGAAUUUCAAAAACCCAGUUUUCCUUCGAACAAUUUUAAUCUCUGCUUAGUGAUGCAUGUGAUAUGUUUUGUGCUCUAUAUGGUGUACUAACCCUCUCUAUUGAUAGCUCAUGGUGGCUCGUUGCCUAGGUAUGUACCCAUUUUCCCUCUAAUCGUUGUUUGUCCAUGUCUCGAUUCUUAUGUGUGCAUGAUCAUUCAGGAUAUUCAUUGAUUUACUCAUCAAUUGCCACAUUAGCUUCAUUUUAUUAGUAGAGACUCGACUUUAGGGACUUAGAGGGGUGCUAUGGUUUUCACCGUACCUUCCCGAUAAGUAACUUGACCCCCAAGCCUGAUCCGGUUUUUCGUAGAUCACCUUUUUCAAAACUAGGAGUCGCACUUAGGGUUUUUCUUUCUUAUUUUGUUUACCCUUUUAAAAAUAAAACAAAAAUAAGUGGCGACUCCAAGUCAAUUUUUCUUAAUCAAUUAAGAUCAUUUUUCGAAAUCAAAAUCGAGCUCGCCUUCGAGUAGGAAACGCAUGAGUUGAAAUGUGGGGUCCACACAUAUUUUCCAAUUUUUCUUGCUAGGUAAAUAAAAUCCAAAUUGAGACUUAAUAUCUUAAAUUCUUUAAUGAAUCUUCUCAUUUUUAAGAUAAUUUGAAAUUAAAAAAAAAAAAACUAAAGAUAAAAACUAAUCCAAAAUACUAUGCCCUCAAUUGAAUGGUAAAUGUAUAGAUGUAAUAAAUUUUUUACAUAUUUAAAUAUUAAAAAUAUUAAACUUUAUUUAUAUUUAAUAAGUUGAGACUUAACAUCUUAAAUUCUUUAAUGAAUCUUCUCAUUUUUAAGAUAAUUUGAAAAAAAAAAAAAAAAACUAAAGAUAAAAACUAAUCCAAAAUACUACGUCCUUAAUUGAAUGGUAAAUGUAUAGAUGUAAUAACAUUUUUACAUAUUUACAUAUUAAAAAUAUUAAACUUUAUUUAUUUAAAAAAAAAAAUUGAAUAAAUUGAGACUUAAUAUCAUAAAUUCUUUAAUGAAUCUUCUCUUUUUUAAGAUAAUUUGAAAUUUAAAAAAAAAAAAAAAACUAAUCCAAAAUACUAUGUCCUUAAUUGAAUGGUAAAUAUAUAGAUGUGAUAAAAAAAUUUACAUAUUUAAAUAUUAUAUUUUAUUUAUUUUUAAAUUUUUUUGAAUAAAAUAUUAUUAAUUUUAAAUUAUUAUUUCUUUUAAUAAAAAAUCAAUUAAGCUUUAGAAAGAUGAUCAUAUUUUUAUAGUAUGUACUAAAAUACUAUCAUUUUUGUAUAAAUAUAUAUAUAUAUAUAUAAUUCAUUAUUUUAGUACUAAAACUACUUAUUUUUUAAUUUAUUUAUAAUUAGAAAACUAUUUUUAGUUUAAUAAGACUUUAACUAAAUUUCAUUGAUAUCAUAAAAAUUGAAUUCACAAUUUUUUUGAUAAAAUUUAAAUAGUAAAAUUACUUUUAAAAACAAUUAAUCGAAAUGGGUUUUUUAUUUUUAUUUUUUUGUUUUUUGAAAAGUAAUUUUAAAGACGAGUUACCAAAUCCUAUUUCUUUUUAGAAAAUAUUAAAAAAUCAUUUUUUAUUCUUUAAUUUAAAAAUAAUUUUUAAAAGCAAGUAGAAAAAAGCAUUGCUAAUUCGACGCCCUAAAUUUCUAAUAUGUAAACAAGCAUAUAGGAAGUGAGCAAUGGGGAUGCCAAGAACGAACUCUCAGUUAAUUUUGGUCAUGCUUAUCCGAUUUCAUCAAACUUAGUUUCCAACACUUAAAAAUCAAACAUAAUUGUGACUUAAGUUGUCAAUGAAUAAAAAGCAACUCAAAACGGAAGAGAUGGAGUAGUUAUAUAACAUACCCAUGCUGCACAUGCCAUCCAGACAGACCGCCGACUUCGGUCAGUGCCGCCCUCCAUCUAAGCACCCUCUCCUCAGUGACGUUUCCAUAUCUUGCAAAUGCUUCUCCAAAACUUCUCGUUUGUUUCCGCACAUCAGACAGAUCCACAUGGUAGAAAAUUGGUAGAACUUUUUGGCCAUUUUCUCUGCUGCACUGCAUGAUCUUAUCAAGCUCAUCCAAGCACCAUUUUGAAUGAGCAUAGUUUUUGGAAAAAACUGUAGGGAAUUAAACCAAAUUCCCAACCUAUGAGAAACAAAAAUAGAAAAACACAUGCCAAAGAAAAGACAAUCACACGCACAAAACAGUAUUUACGUGGUUCGGCAAUUUGCCUACGUCCAGGGAGUUGUAGGGAUAUCACUAUUAUCAGGGAAGAAUACAGAGUACGACUUAGCGGCUAUAAUAUUCUCUCUAUAUAUAUAGCACGGCAACCCCACCAUACUAAAAAACCCUAAUUACAAAAUGUGGUUCCACAAUGGGUUAAACGGGCCCAACAGGCCUCAAUAAAUCUCCCAUUAAAAAGUCAUGCAAUAUUAUUCGAGUCGGGUCGUUAAACCGGAUCAAACAAAACUAGGCUCCACACAGCCCAACAAAUCUCCCACUUGGAGACUAGUCCAAUCACCAACAUCAAACCGCUAUCCUCCAAGAAACAAUCCCUCAUCCCUACAACUCAUCCUCCUGUCCUCAAGCUAAAAGACCAAUUGAAGCUGCGCAUAACUUCAACUUCUCAAUAGUGAUCAGUUUCACAUCUCUUGAACCUAAUUCUAUGCAUAAAAUUGUCAAACUUCUUAUACCACUGUCUAGGAGCUUGUUUAAGGCCAUACAAGCUCUUUCUCAGUUUGCAGACUAGAUUCUCUUGUCCCUGAACAAUGAACCCUUCUGGCUGAAUUAUGUAAAGGUCUUCCUCCAAGUCACCAUGAAGGAAUGUUGUCUUCACAUCUAACUACUCAAGAUGUAAGUUUUCUGCAGCCACCAUUCCAAGUACAAGUCUAAUUGUUGACAUCUUCACAACUGGAGAAAAUAUCUCUGUGUAGUCAAUGCCCUCCUUCUGCUAGAACCCUUUAACAACUAAUCUAGCCUUGUAACGUUUGCUACUAUCAUGCUCAUUCUUUAUUCUGUAUACCCACUUGUUGUGCAAAGCCUUCUUUCCUACUGGCAAUUCAGUUAGUUCCCAUGUUUGAUUCCCCAACAGGGAAUCCAUCUCAUCCUUCAUGGCUAACUCCCACUUGCUUGAAUUCUCAUCUUGCAAGGCUUCAUCAUAACACUCUGGCUCACCACCAUCAGUCAACAGGAGAUAAUUUAAAACAGGUGAAUAACGCUACGGAGGUCUAAUGUUCCUGGAAGAUCUGCGAACUUUAGCUACAAGUGUACUCAAAUCUACCUGUGAAUUUACAUUCUCCUUAUCUUCUUCACCCCCUUUUUGGAUAGUACUUUCAGUCAAUUCAUCUAAGUUGACAAACUCAGAUUUCUUUUGAUCUAUCUCUGUAACAUCUGACACUAUAGUUGACCUGUCCUUAUACAUAACCUGUUUAUUAAAUAUCACAUUUCUACUUCUGAUGAUUUUCUUGUUUUGUUCAUCCCAAAACCUAUAGCCAAAUUUCUCAUCACCAUAGCCAAUGAAAAAACAUAUUUUUGACUUUGCAUCAAGUUUACUACGAGCAUCAGAAUCAAUAUGAACAUAAGAAACACAACCAAAAACUUUUAAAUGUGAAAACUUCACCUCUUUACCGCUCUAAACCUCCUUAGAAAGUCUGAACUCCAUGGGAACUAAUGGUCCUCGGUUUAUCAGGUAAGCUGCAGUGCUAACAACAUCAGCCCAAAAAGUUUUUGGUAGUUCAGCAUGCAACCUCAUACUUCUAGCACGCUCAUUGAGAGUUCUGUUCAUGCGCUCAGCCACACCAUUCUGCUAUGGUGUCCCAAGAAUGGUUUUCUCCAUCCUAAUUCUCUGUGCAACACAAUACUCACUAAACCCUCCAUCUAUGUACUCUCCUCCAUUAUCUGACCUCAAAUAUUUUACUUUCAAACCUGUUUCUGUCUCAACCAUGGCCUUCCAUUUCUUAAAAGUUUCAAAUACAUCAGACUUAUUUUUCAGAAAAUAAACUCAUACCUUUCUACUUGGAGUCAUCAAUAAAAGUGAUGUAGUACCUUGAAUCUCCUAGGGAUGCAACCGGAGAAGGCCCCCACAAAUCAGUGUGUACUAGUUCCAAUUUUUCAGCCUUCUGUGUCCUGCCAGUUUUCAAGAAGCUCACCUUUUUUUGCUUUCCUAAGAUGCAACUUUCACACAUGUCAAAAUCAAUGGACUUCAAUUCUGGUAGUUUUCCUUUUGACAACAACAUCUUCAUCUCUUUCUCACUCAUGUGACCAAGUCUGCGGUGCCAUAGGCUUGUAUCAGUACUUGCAUCAACAAUUGCAAUUGUGUCUCUUGGACAUGAGAUCAUAUACAGAGUACCGGUCUUCUUUCCACGAGCCAAUACCCUAGCUCCCUUUGUAACCUUCCAAGUACCACCAACAAAUAGUAUUGCAUGUCCUUCAUCAUCAAGUUGUCCAACAGAAAUCAGAUUCCUCCUCAGGUCAGGAAUAUGUCGAACCUUCUCCAAUAACCAAACAGACCCAUUGGGCAACGAUAUCCAGACGUCUCCCAGACCCACAACAUCCAAGGCUGAACCAUCAGCCAAAUACACCUUACCAAAAUCACCUGUAACAUAAUUCUGUAUGAUUUCUCGGUGUGGAGUGGUAUGAAACGAAGCUCCUGAAUCCAAAACUCAAUCAUCAAGUGGACUGUCUACUGCAAGAAGUAAUGCAUCAUGUACCUCUUCUGUUACAACAUUAGCAGAAUCAUCUUCAUUCUUCUUCUUAGGGCUUUUGCAUUGCCUUUUAAAGUGACAUGUUUUCCCACAAUUCCAGCAUUGUACUUGUUGGCCUGAUCUAGAUUUGCUUCUGUUUCGAUUAGAAUUUCUGGAAUUUGAUCUACCCCGAUUUGAAUUUCUGUCAUUACCUUUGCCUCUUGUCUCAAGGUUUCACCUGCAUCUCUUCGGUGAAUCUCCUCAACCAUAAUUAAAUCUUGUAUAUCAUUGUACUUGAGCUUUUCCUUUCCCGUCGAAUUGCUUACUACCAUCCUCAUUGCCUCCCAACUGUUUGGCAAAGAAGCCUAGACGAUUAGAGUACGAAUCUCAUCAUCAAAAUCAAUUUCUACAGAUGACAAUUGAUUUGUGAUUGUAUUAAAUUCAUUCAGAUGUUGUGCUACUGAUGCAUUCUCUGCCAUCUUCAAAUUGAACAAUUUCUUCAUCAGAUGCACCUUAUUGUUUGCGGGCGGCUUUUCAUACAUACCGGACAAAGCCUUCAUCAAAUCUGUUGUGGUCUUCUCCUUUACAACAUUAUGUGCAACAGACCUAGACAGAGUUAACCUAAUAACUCCUAGAACCUGUCUGUCAAGAAGCGCUCAUUCCUCAGCCUUCAUACUCUCAGGUUUUGUCCCCAAAAGAGGCAGAUGCAAUUUCCUCCCAUAGAGAUAAUCUUCAAUCUACAUCCUCCAAUACGCAAAGUCUGUGCCAUCAAACUUUUCUAUUCCAGACGUUUUUCCUACUUCCUCUGCCAUUGCUCCCACUCAAACCUAACCCUAGGCUCUAAUACCAAUUGUAGGGAAUUAAACCAAAUUCCCAACCUGUGAGAAACAAAAAUAGAGAAAACACACGCCAAAGAAAAGAUAAUCACACGCACAAAACAAUAUUUACGUGGUUCGGCAAUUUGCCUACGUCCACGGAGUUGCAGGGAUAUCACUAUUAUCAGGGAAGAAUACAGAGUACGACUUAGCGGCUACAAUAUUCUCUUUAUAUAUAUAGCACGGCAACCCCACCAUAUUAAAAAACCCUAAUUACAAAAGGUGGUUCCACAAUGGGCUAAACGGACCCAACAGGCCUCAAUAAAUCUCCUAUUAAAAAGCCAUGCAAUAUUAUUCAGGUCGGGUCAUCAAACCGGAUCAAAUAAAACUAGGCUCCACAAAGCCCAACAAAAACUACAAUAGACAUCUUUGAUUCUUCAAUAGCUUUCAAGAGUCAAGUUUGAAUCUCUCCUCUUCUUUGAAGUCCUUCUUCAUCUCUAAAGGUGUGGAUGUACCUACUCGUCAAAGCCGAAUAAAGAUGAUCCGUAAAAUUUGAAGCUGGUAUCUUCCCCUCUAAAGCUCAAAAAAACAUCCCAUCUCCGAUAUUGAAAAGAAGAGGUGCCUGAAGAAGCCAUUCUUGGGAGCUAUCUGGUUGUGAGUCCCAAAUUCCAAGACACUGAGAAAAUUUUGGGUCGUCAUGGAAAGAUUCUCUCUCUCGACCUUUUUAACAUAGGAACUUCCUCUAAUCUUGCAAGGAACUUUCAUAUUUUUUAUUUUAUCUUAUUCUUUUUAGUUUUUAAUUUUGUUAAUGCCUAUAUGCAUUGUGUUUGGAACAAAGGGCGAGGCUUCAUGGAAAGGCCGGUGCAUUUUCUUUCUGUGAGAGGUGAAUAGGCCAGGAAAGAAGGUGGACAUCAAAGUCAACACUGACUGCUAUUGCCUGCCUCUUUUCUCAUUUUUGGACUAUGUUGUAGCUUUUUCAUUCCUUAAUCCCAUACCAUCAGUAAUCAACAUUUUAUCAAUUUUUCUUAUUUUUUAUUGUUUACAUUUAGAAAUAUUAAUUUUAAAAUUUUAACUUAUAAGUUAAUUUAUAACCACAGCAACAACAACAACAAUAAUUAGGAGUAAAGCAUAUUAAAGGUUUGUUGAGAAUGAUUUUGAUAAAAAUAAUUUAAACUUGUAAUAGUAUUAUUAAUAACAAUUUAUUAUAUAUAAAUUUUUAUAGUCAUUUAAUGUUCACAUAUAAGUGAAAAAAUGUUCUUGAUAAUUUGUGUAUUAAAGGUUUGGGAUACAAUUUUAAAAUUCACCUUCCCUAUUUUGUCAUCAAUGAUUCGCUGAGUCCUUUUUAAAAAUGAUAAAAUUUAAAAUAAAAUUCACUUUGUGUCUUGACGCUUUUUCUUUUUGACCAAGACUCUCUGUGUCAGCCUGACGCUUUUUCUUUUUUACCAAGACUCUGUGUUUAUAUGAGGGAGAGAAAGAGAGAGAGAGAGAGAGAGAGAGAGAGAGAGAUAUGCUCUUUUUAGCAAGGUGGCAUCUCAGCAACUACAAGGUUUUUGAGACAAUUAUUUUCUUGGCUAUAGAAUUGCUAAGCCCUAUUUCAUAUUUGAUUUUCACUUGGGAAAAUAAGAAAUGUUUUAACUUUCUCUAAUUUUAUUUUUUUCCCUUUCGUUUUUUCAACCUCUAAAUUUUACAACAUGCAAAUGCAAUUAAUAAUUAUUGACUUACAAAAAUAAAUUAAAUUAUCUCAAUUUCAUUUUCAUGUAAUUGAAUUGAAAAAUGAAUUUACCGUAAAUGAGAAAAAAUGUUAAUUAAAAAACCAAGCUAAUUUGAAAUAGGUGGUAUUUUUUAUCAAGAAAAUUUAAAUCUAAAACUUUUAAAUUUUCACUCAAAAGAAAAAUUGGUAAAUACAAAUAACUUAAUUUGAUUAAGAAAUGAACCUAACAGCCUUCUUGUCCAUCUUGUUGCGUAGAUGAUUAGGUACAAAGACAUAGCAAACACAUCCGAAAACUCGAAAAUAACUAACUGUAGGCUUUAUGUUCCACAAUUUUUCAAAGGGUGAUGAAAAAUUUAACCUUUGUUGAGGAAGCCUAUUGAUCACAAAAGCUGCAGUCUUCAUUACUUCUGCCCAAAACCGUCCUGGAACAUUCUUUGCAUGAAGCAUACUUCUACAGAUUUCUGCUAGGUGCCUGUUCUUUCUUUUUGCUACGCCGUUUUGAUGCGGAGUGUUGGCACAUGUGAAUUGAUGGCGUACUCGGCAUUCUCGGAGGAAGUAAAAAAACUCAUCUGAGGUAUACUCUCCCCCAUUGUCAGUACACAGACAACAAAUUCUCUUAUCAACCUCUGCUUCCGUCAUUUCCUUGAAUUCUUUAAACUUUGAGAAAGUUUCAGAUUUUUAUUUCAUAAAGUACACCCACACGUACUUGGAAAAAUCAUCAAUAAAGGUCACCAUGUAUUUCAUCCCACUAAGAGAGGCUUGCUUAACAGGUCCAAACACAUCAGAGUGAAUUAGCUCUAAUGGCCCCUUUGCUUUCCAUUUUGACUCUUCAUACGGCAACUGAUGCGCUUUGCCGUACUGACGUCCUGCGCAGAUUGUAUCUUUUCUCACUUCAAGUUGUGGAAGUCCCUUCAGCAUUGACUUUUUCAUCAUCACAGUUAGUUUGGAAUAACUAACGUGACUUAAUUGCAUAUACCAUAAAUCGGCUGUCUCGUUCUUUCUGGUCUUGUCUACAUAUGCGGUUUCUGCAAACAUCACAUAGACUGACUCUAGUCUCCGUCCCUUUAUCACCGGCUCUUCCAUAAUCUCAAGGUCACGAUAAACUUUCACAUCUUGAGGGCCAAAUAGAACAAAAUGGCCUGAAGACGUUAAUUGUGCAACCGAGAGAAGAUUUUUCUUCAUACCUGGGACGUGAUAGACAUUUUGAAGCAUCACAUCAUUAGUAUUAUAUUGGGAAAAGACUACUGUAUUACCAAUGUGAGCUAUUGGUAGUUUUGAGUUGUUCGCUGUGACUACCAUAUGUCUUCCCUUGUACUCCGAAAAAUCCUGCAGCUUUUCUUUAUCACCUGUCAUAUGAUUUGGGUAGCCUGAGUCAAUGAUCCAAUCCUUCUCAUAAUGAAUUUGUUUAGACGUUGUUGCUAUAAAAGCUAAUUCUCCUAUUACAACAAAAAAUGCCUGAGUGUCCCACUCAUCUUCACUUUUGGAAGUAGCAGCAUUACUUUCCACAAGCCCUUUUUUCGACCAACAAUCUUUUGCCAUGUGACCCUUUUUUCCGCAAUUGUAGCACUUCCCUUCAAAUUUUUUUCCUGGUGCCAGGAUUCUUCGAAUCUCCCUCAACACGAGCACUCCUUUCACCUUGACUACUUUUUGCCUUGUCCUCAUUCUUUUUAGUUCUAUCGACGGUGUGCUGCUUGGAAUUCCACCUGCCUUUGUGGGCAUAAAGCGCUUCCUCUUCACCCUUGAGUGAAACCCCUCCCAUUUGUUUAGCUAAGGCUUCUUGACCAGUAAGCAAAUUCUCAAACUCAACAAGUGAUGGUUGAUUUUGCCAUCCCUGUACAACAGCAACAAAACCUCUGAAUUCUGGUCUCAAACCAUGGAUGAUUAUUCUCUUCAUCCUGGUUUCACCGAUUGGGGCUUCUAGAUCCAACUCGAAAAUUUCCCGGCAUAACGUCUUCACCUUGUGAAAGUACUGAGUGAUCGUCAAGUCACGUUGUGCUACCGACAACAACUCGCUCUCUAGAAGUUGGAGCCUUGUGUCAUUCUUCUUUGAGAACAGCUUGGUGAACGUAUUCCAAGCUUCGUAAGGGGUUUUGGCAUCUCAAAUGUGCUCUAGCACAUCUUCUUCGAUCGUUGUCUUCAAAGCAAACAUCGUUUUGCCUGCUUUUAUCUUCCAUAUCCGCAGUAUACCAUUCACAUCCUCAGCCUCCAAUUGAGUAAUUUCGCUUCUGUUCACAACCUCCCACAAGUCUUGGCCUUGCAUGUACGACAUCAUGCAUGUUAACCAAGUAUUGUAAUUUUGGUUGUUGAGCUUUUUUAUUCCGCCAAUGACUUGAAGAUCACCCAUUUCACUCUCUCUUUUCCUCACGUGUUUGACUCUCAAACACUCUCUAAAAUCCCUCUUCAACCUGACUCUGAUACCAAAUGUUGAAACCACUUUAUAAAAGAGACACAUAGAGGAGGAAAGAAAAUAAUUUUAUUGAUAGGGUGAUAUUUUUAAACUUCACCUGAUACAAGCCUUUUAUAGGCAAAACCAUCAACAGAAAUAGAAAUACUAAAAAAUAGGAAUAGAAAGAUAACCAGUCACUCUAAACGUGCUGCAACGACCUCUCUAAGACUUGGACAAUUCUUAAUUUAUUGAAAAACUACACAGAGGCAUAUUUUUGACACAAAAACAAACUUGACUUGUUCAAUACAUCCUCUCGGUCACAUGCUGAUGUUGAUAACUUAAACAACUUAUUUGUACAAAUUUUUCCCCUAGGAUAUCUGCUAGAAGUUGUUUUUGUAAUUCAAGCAAUGGAUAGUGUUGCCAUGCCUCACGAACAUUUGAAAGAAAGAUAGCAUCUUCAAAUUGAUGAGCAAUUUCGUUGUAUAUUACUUUGGCGAGGAUGGUCUUUCCUAUUCCACCAAGUCCAUAUAUUCCUAUCACGCGAACAUCAUUUGACCAGUGCAUUCAUUUCUUCCAAACGGAAAUCCAUUCCGACGAGGUUCUCAUCAACAUGAAAGCGUUUAGGUUAUGUUUGGUUCCCGAAAAAUAUUAAAGAAAGAAAAAAAAUGCAAAGAAAAAUGAUUUUUUCAUGUUUGGUUGUCCUAUGAAAAAUAUAAAAGAAAAUCAAAUAUAAUUAAAACUAAUUAAAAACUUAUGUAUUUUAAAAUUAUUUAAUCUUUAUAUUAAUGAGUUAAAAUAAAUAAAAUGAGUUUGAAGUAAAAAAUAAAAAUAACUAAUCAACUUUUAAUCCAUUUUUUAUUUUCCUUCACUUUUUCUUUCCUUCUAUUUUUCCUUUGUAUUUUCUUUCUCUUGCAUUUUCCUUCAAAUUUUCUGAGAACCAAACAUAGCCUUAGGCUUCAGCAUAUUGGAAACGUUUUGAGUAAUGCGAUGAAUGAUCUCAGAUUCCCAAAUGGAAAGCACAAUAUAACAACCUCCAAUGAACUACAAAUUAAUUGUAAGAAAAAAAAAAUUGAUGAUGAUUUAGUUUUAGUUUUUUUUGAAGCAGGUGAAACUAUUGGUGGCAGACUGGCAGUUGCCAUUAGAAAAAUGAAAAAUACCAAUCGAGUUUAUUUGUGCCGCAGGUGAAACUACUUAGUUUUUUUAAAAUUACUUUUCUAUUUUUUAAAUAUGAUUUAAAAAUACCUUUCUAUUUUUUAAAUAUGAUUUAAACGUUUUUCUAUUUUUGAAAUUAAAACCCUAUUUUAAAAAAAUUAUGGUCAGUUUGGUGGUCAUUCUCUACAAAUAAUCUUUAAAAAUAAGAUGAAAUAAAAAAGAAUUUUGGAGAACAAGUAAUAUAAGUUAUUUUUACAUAUUUAUAAAAACAAAGAAAAGCAUUGGGAAGUAAUUUAAAAAAGAAAAUAAUAAAAAAAUAAACAAAGUCUGAUAGAUCUCUUUCUUCUUUUAUUCUCUCUCCACCAAUCAAUAUCAAAAUUUUUAAAUAUGAUUCCUUUUUAAUUACACUUUAUUUAUUUAUUUAUUUGAAUUUACUUUAACUUUUAAAAUUCUUUAGGUAAAUAAAUUCCAAAUCAAAUGGUACAUGAUAUAUAUGAUUUAUUAAUUUAAAAAAAAAAAUUAAAACUCAAAAACCAAUCCAAUUAGUGUUGGAAAGUUACAAAACUCAAAACCAAUAUAGAAAACAAAUUUUGUUAAUUUUUUUACCAUGAACUUCAAAUCAAGUAAAAUUUAAUAUUUUUUUAUUCAUAAAUAAGUUUAGUAAUUUUUAAAAAUAAUUUCAAACUCAAAUAAUAACUCAAUUAAUAUAAAAAAUUUAUAAACAAAAAUUAGUUUAAAAUUACUUUAUUGUUUGACUAAUCUAUAGAAUCAUUUUUUUCUUUAAUUUGUUAGCAAGUUUAUUAAUUAAAAAAAAUAUAGAAUUCAAAACAUAACACAAUUAGUAGUGGAAAUUCACAAUCUAAAAUCUAUCCAAAAUGACUCUUAUAUUUCUCAUACAAAACUUUAUUUUUAUGAGUUUUGUCGCUGAAAAAAUGGAUUUUUAAUAGAAUUCAAAAAUAGACCAAAGUACUAUAAAAAAUAAUAAACCAAAAUUAAUACAUAAUAAGUUAUAACUUACUGUUUCUCCUAAGCGCAUAACCAUAUUUUCCAAAUUUUCUUGCUAGGUAAAUAGAAUCUAAAUCGGGACUUAAUAUCUUAAAUUCUUUAAUGAAUCUUCUCAUUUUUAAGAUAAUUUGAAAUUAAAAAAAAAAAACUAAAGAUAAAAACUAAUCCAAAAUACUAUGCCCUUAAUUGAAUGGUAAAUGUAUAGAUGUACUAAAAAUUUUACAUAUUUAAAUAUUAAAAAUAUUAAACUUUAUUUAUUUUUAAUAAAUCGAGACUUAAUAUCUUAAAUUCUUUAAUGAAUCUUCUCAUUUUUAAGAUAAUUUGAAAAAAAAAAACUGAAGAUAAAAACUAAUCCAAAAUACUACGUCCUUAAUUAAAUGGUAAAUGUAUAGAUGUAAUAAAAAUUUUACAUUUUUAAAUAUUAAAAAUAUUAAACUUUAUUUAUUUAAAAUUUUUUUUUUGAAUAAAUCAAGACUUAAUAUCUUAAAUUCUUCAAUGAAUCUUCUCAUUUUUACGAUAAUUUGAAAUUUAAAAAAAAAAUUGAAGAUAAAAACUAAUCCAAAAUAGUAUAUCCUUAUUUGAACGGUAAAUAUAUAGAUGUGAUAAACUUUUUUACAUAUUUAAAUAUUAAAAAUAUUAAACUUUAUUUAUUUUUAAAUUUUAUUGAAUAAAAUAUUAUUAAUUUUAAAUUAUUAUUUAUUUUAAUAAAAAAUCAAUUAAGCUUGAGAAAGAUGAUCACAUUUUUAUAACAUGUACUAAAAUAGUAUCAUUUUUGUAUAUAUAUAUAUAUAUAUAUAUAUAUAUAUAUAUAUAUAUAUAUAUAUAUAUAUAUAUAUAAUUCAUUAUUUUAGUACAUGUAAACAAGCAUAUAGGAAGUGAGCAAUGGAUGCCAAGAACGGACUCUCAGUUAAUUUUGGUCAUGCUUAUCCGAUUUCAUCAAACUCAGUUUCCAACACUUAAAAAUCAAACAUAAUUGUGACUUAAGUUGUCGAUGAAUAAAAAGCAACUCAAAACGGAAGAGAAAGAGUAGUUAUAUAACAUGCCCAUGCUGCACAUGCCAUCCAGACAGACCGCCGGCUUCGGUCAGUGCCGCCCUCCAUCUCAGCACCCUCUCCUCAGUGACGUUUCCGUAUCUUGCAAAUGCUUCUCCAAAACUUCCCGUUUGUUUCCGCACAUCAGAUGGAUCCACAUGGUAGAAAAUUGGUAGAACUUUUUGGCCCUUUUCUCUGCUGCACUGCAUGAUCUUAUCAAGCUCAUCCAAGCACCAUUUUGAAUGAGCAUAGUUUUCUGAAAAAACGACAACAGAAAUCAUUGAAUCUUCAAUAGCUUUCAAGAGUGAAGGUUGAAUCUCUCGUCCUCUUUCAAGUCCUUCAUCAUCUCUAAAGGUGUCGAUGCCCAUCCUCGUCAAAGCCGAAUAAAGAUGAUCCGUAAAAUUUAAGCGGGUAUCUUCCCCUCUAAAGCACAAAAAAACAUCCCAUCUCCAUUGAAAAGAAGAGGUGCCUGAAGAAGCCAUUCUUGGGAGCUAUCUGGUUGUUAGUCUCAAAUUACAAGACAAUCAGAAAAUUAUGGGUUGUUGUGGGAAGGUUUUAUCUCUCCACCCUUUUAACAGAGGAGCUUCCUCAAAUCUUGCAAGGAACUUUCAUAUUUUUUAUUUUAUCUUAUUCUUUUUAGUUUUUAAUUUUGGUAAUGCCAUAUGCAUUGUGUUUGGAACAAAGGGCGAGACUUUAUGGAAAGGUCGGUGUUGAGAAUCAGAAGAACCUGAAACUGAUGAAAAACACCAAGAAACAGAGGAUGUAAAAGAAAAUGGAUUGUAGAAAAGAAAACUAAAAAAUUACAUCAGACUUGAGUCCUAUUUAUAACACAUCAAUGACACAAUAACAGAGUAACAAAAAUAAACUGAAAUAACAACUUUUCUAACUAACUCUUCUCAUCUAACUUGCUACAUCAGACUUGAGUCCUAUUUAUAACACAUCAAUGACACAAUAACAGAGUAACAAAAAUAAACUGAAAUAACAACUUUUCUAACUAACUCUUCUCAUCUAACUUGCUUUCUAUUUUAAGUCUUUCUUCUUUCCUUUUUAGUUCCAUGCUUUCAAUAUGAGAUGCAACACUCCAACACCCCCCCUCAAGAUGAACAUGGAUGUUAAUGAUGUUCAUCUUGCGAAGAUUAUGAUGAAAAGGUAGAGAACCGAGAGGCUUUGUAAAGAUAUCUGCGAGCUGUAAUCGUGAUGGAAUAUGGAAGAGCUUAAUAACAUGCUGCUGCAAUUUUUCACGAAUAAGAUGGCAGUCAAUCUGGAUAUGCUUUGUUCUCUCGUGCUGAACUAGAUUUGUGGCGAUGGACAUUGCUGAUUGACUGUCAGUAUAUAGCAAAGCUGACUGUGAAUGUUUGAUAUCCAGGUCUUGUAAGGCAUACAAAAGCCAUUGAAUUUCACAGGUGGUAGUUGAAAGGGCUCGGCACUCUGCCUCUGCAGAGGAUCGACUAACUGUAACUUGUUUCUUUGAUUUCCAUGAAAUCAAGGAGUUGCCAAGAAAAAUUGCAAAACCAGUGACACUCCUUCUAGUAUCGACACAGCCUGCCCAAUCACUAUCGGAAAAACCCUUUAAUUGAAAAUCUGAGGAAGAAGGAAAAAAGAGACCUUGCCCUGGUGUGGCCUUUAGAUACCUCAGUACUCGAAUGGCUGCUUGAUGGUGACUAACAGCAGGUUUUGCUAAAAAUUGGCUGAGUACUUGUACAGAAUAGGCUAAGUCAGGCCUAGUGAGAGUUAAAUAAAGUAAUCUGCCAAUGAGUCUUCGGUAACCUGAUGGAUCUUCAUAGAAAUUGGUAUCAUUUGCUAAUAACUUGAGGGUAGAUUCCAUGGGAAAGGCAGCAGGUUUGGAUCCAGUUAAACCAGUGUCUUCAAGUAUGUCAAGUAUAUACUUUCGUUGGCAUAAGGAGAUACCAGUCUUGGACCUUGCAACUUCCAAGCCAAGAAAGUAUUUUAGUGGGCCUAAGUCUUUAAUAGUGAACUUGGCAUCUAAAAAGGUCUUCAACCUUUCAAUUUCCAGAAUGUUAUCACUUGCCAAUAGCACAUCAUCCACAUAGACUAAUAAGGCCAUAAAAGAACUUUCAGAUUUCUUAAUGAACAGAGAACAGUCAGAAUUACCUUGAAUAAAUCCAUAGGAAAGAAGGGCCUGGGAUAGUUUGGCAUACCAUUGUCUGGAAGCUUGCUUCAAGCCAUAGAGGCUCUUUAGAAGACGACAAACUUUCUGUUCACCUUGGACAGCCAACCCAGGAGGCAAUUCCAUGUAUACCUCUUCAUGUAAAUCACCAUGCAAAAAUGCAUUAUUAACAUCUAGUUGAUGAAGAUGCCACUGUUUGAUGGCAGCCACAGCAAGUAGUAAGCGAAUGGAUGUAAUCUUGGCCACAGGAGAGAAAGUAUCAAAGAAAUCAAGGCCUUCUUGCUGAGUAUACCCUUUUGCCACCAAUCUAGCUUUAUGUCUUUCUAUAGUUCCAUCAGCUUUAUAUUUCACUUUGAAUACCCAUUUACAACCAAUAGUCCUUUUAUUUUUAGGAAGAGUAACAAGCUCCCAAGUUUUGUUUAACUCCAAAGCAGUAAGUUCAUGUUGCAUGGCAGCUUGCCAUUCAGGGAGGCGAGAAGCUUGGGUGUAUGAUUUGGGUUCUAGAGAGUUUGUGAUAGAGGUGAGAAAAGCUUUAUGGGAUGUAGACAGUCUACUAGUAGAAAGAAAAUGGUGAAGAGAAUAGAAAUUACCUUUAGUGGGAGAACAAUCAAGUGAAGUAGAUGCCUGAGUUGCAUUUUGAGAAGAAGAGACAUUACCACAAUAAUAGUCCUGCAGAUAUGAAGGUUUUUGUUUAAUUCUGGUUGAUUUUCUGAGCUGUAGGACUUUAGGGUCAGUUGAAUCCACAUGGGAUGGAGAGGGAAAUGUAGGUGAGUUGGAUUCAAGAAGGGCAGGAGGUUCAGAGAGAGAAGGAGAAUUAUUAGGUGGUGAUGCAGAUCCCACAUUAUGAUAGGAAUUGAAGAAGGAGGUGGUAGAAGGUGAAUCUGAAAAGGAUUGUGAAAGAGGAAACAUAAAAGAAUGAGUUUCAGGAUGUUGGGGCAACACUUGGAAAGGAAAAAUUGUUUCAUGGAAUAUGACAUUUCGAGAAACAAGGAUCUUAUUGGUGUUUAGAUCCAUGAGUUUAUAACCCUUAAUAUCAGAAGGAUAUCCUAGGAAGAUGCACUUUGUGGCUCGUGAAUCAAAUUUUUGUCUGUGACUAGUUAAAGUGGAUGCAAAACAAAGGCAGCCAAAAACUCUUAAAUGAGAAAGGUUAGGUGUUUUGUUAAAAAGCAUUUCAAAAGGGGUUUUAUUUUGAAGUAGAGGAGUGGGAAUUCUAUUGAUUAUGUGGGCAGCAGUAAGCACACAGUCACUCCAAAAAAUUAAUGGUAGAUUUGCUUGAAACAUUAAGGCUCUAGCAGUGCUUAGUAGAUGUUGAUGUUUUCUCUCCACAACACCAUUUUGUUGAGGAGUUUCGACACAACUUCUCUGAUGCAAAAUACCAUAUUUAUGAUAGAAUUUUGUAAGUAAGAAUUCUGGUCCAUUAUCAGACCUUAUAGCUUUGACAGAAGAAGAAAAUUGGUUUGCUACCAUUUUACAGAAAUUUUUUAUUAAAGAUGGCACUUCUGAUUUAGCUUUAAUCAUGUAUACCCAAGUACACCUUGUGAAGUCAUCGACUAUAGUUAAAAAAUAUCGAAAACCAGAAUAAGAAGUAGUGCCAAAGGGACCCCAUAUAUCACAAUGGAUCAAAUCAAAACUUUUAUUAGAAUUACUCUGUGAUAUAGAAAAAGGAAGCCUUCUUUGCUUUGCUAAAGGACAUAUGUCACAAACAUUUGUAUGAUCAAGAGUGAUAGCAGAGUCAAUCUGUUUGAGGGAAUGGAAUCUUGAACUAGAUACAUGUCCUAAUCUACAAUGCCAUAUAUCUAAGUGUUUGUGAAUAGAGGACAAAGCAAGAGGAACAGAAUUAAACUGAAAUGAAUUGCAGGUUUUAGCUUGUGAUGAAGCUGGAAUUAGAUGGUAAAGUCCUUCUUUUUCAAGAGCAAUCCCAAUCAUCUUCUCCAUUGACUGGUCCUGUAAAAGGCAAUGAGAAGUAGUAAAGGUAAGAGAAAGAUUAGACUGUUUAGUGAGUUUGGAAACGGAUAAUAGAUUGAAUGAAAAAUGAGGAACACACAAGACAUUAUGUAAAAAUAAGGAAUCUGAGAGACAUACAGUACCAAUGUGUGUGGCUGGAACUAUAGUACCAUUAGGAAGAUUGAUGGAUGCAUUAAUUGGUUUAGGUGUAAAAUGGUAUAAAAGUGGUGAACAAAUCAUAUGGUCUGUUGCACCCGUAUCAAGAAGCCAAUAUGAAGUGGAAUUUGGCUUAGAAGUAACAGAAUUACAAGAAAAAAUUGGUUUAAGUGUAGGUUGAACUUUACCAGAAAAGUGAGAGGUGGUGACAAGGUUAACAGCUGGUUGGACAUUAUUCUGAUUGGAAGAAUUGGGUUGAACUGAAUUUGCAAGCGCCACUAGUUUAUGAAAUUCCUCUGGAGUGAAACAAAACUUUUGUUGCUCAUUGCUAUUUUGAUUGGGAACCUUUGGAGUAGUAAUGGCAGCAUGAGCAGAAGCCAUAUUUCUUUUUCCUUUUGGUCUAUUCCAGCCAAGGGGAUAACCAUGAAGUUGAAAACAUUUGUCCACUGUGUGACCAUUAUAGCCACAAUGAGUACAGUGUGGGGCAGAUUUCUUUGGUUUGUCCUUGAAAGAUUGUGGCUGGUAACUCUGCUGAUUGGAUUGCUUUGCCAUCAAAGCAUGAGUCUCAUUACAUGUAGCAGAAUUUGUGAGUUGCCUCUGACUUUCUUCUUGAAGCAGUAGAGAGAAAACCUUGGACAUGUUUGGUAAUGGAACCAUUAGCAGCAAUUGGCUUCUGAUAGAGGCAUAAGAAUCAUUUAACCCCACCAAGAAUUUGAGUACAUAAUCAGAUUGCUGUCUGAUUUGUAGAAAGUUGAAAAGUUCACAAGUGCAUGUUGCCAUCUUGCCACAAGUGCAUGUUGGAAAUGGCCUAUAGCUAAUGUACUCAUCCCAAAAGGUCUUAAAGGUACUGAAAUAUUCAGUAACAGACAAAGCACCUUGACUGAUGCAACUCAAAGAUUUCUCAAGUUGGAAAACCCUUGGUCCAUCACUCCUGAGAUAUCUUACUUUAAGCUCAGUCCAAAGAUCAACAGCAGAUACCACAAACAGCAAGCUAUUUCGUAUUUAUUUUGAAAUGGAAUUCAUCAACCAAGAAAGAACCAGAUUAUUUGCCCUUAACCAUGCUGUGUGUUUAACAAGCUGAUCAAUAGAGGGAGAAACAAUUGAACCAUCUAUAAAUUGUACCUUGUUUUUUACUGUCAAUGCAAUGACUAUCGAACGACUCCAUGCAACAUAGUUUUCUCCAUUGAAGAUUUCUGAUACUAACAAAGCACCAGGAUUGUCGCUUGGAUGUAGGUAAUACGGGCUCGAUGAGUCAUCUGAAGGAUUGAUAGGAGGCUGAUUAAAAGAAUUAGAUGAAGAAGGAAGCACAGGAGAGGGAUUGACAAGAGGAGAAUCACCAAAACUCAUUUUCAAGAAUUUAUUCAAGAAAAUGCAAGAAGCUGGAAGACGAUCAAUGCAAGAAUUCUAGAGCAGAAUUUCGCAAGGCAGAAGUUGAGAAGAAAUUGAUCGAUUUAGGUUGCGGAAGCUUUAGGGUUUGGCUCUGAUACCAUGUUGAGAAUCAGAAGAACCUGAAACUGAUGAAAAACACCAAGAACCAGAGGAUGCAAAAGAAAAUGGAUUGCAGAAAAGAAAACUAAAAAAUUACAUCAAACUUGAGUCCUAUUUAUAACACAUCAAUGACACAAUAACAGAGUAACAAAAAUAAACUGAAAUAACAACUUUUCUAACUAACUCUUCUCAUCUAACUUGCUUUCUAUUUUAAGUCUUUCUUCUUUCCUUUUUAGUUCCAUGCUUUCAAUAUGAGAUGCAACACUCCAACAGCCGGUGCAUUUUCUUUCUGUACAUGAGAGGUGAAUAGGCCAGGAAAGAAGGUGGACACCAAAGUCAACACUGGCUGGUACUAUGCUGCAGCUUUUUCAUUCCUUUAUCCCAUACCAUUAGUAAUCAACUUUUAUCAAUUUUUCUUAUUUUUUAUUGUUUACAUUUAGAAAUAUUAAUUUUAAAAUUUUAACUUAUAAAUUAAUUUAUAACAGCAGCUACAAUAAUAAUAAUAAUAAUAAUAAUUAACUUAAAAAAAAUGAUUCGGAGUAAAGCAUAUUAAAAGUUUGUUGUGAAUGAUUUUAAAAUUCUGCUUCCCUAAAUUGUCAUCAAUGAUUUGCCAAGUCCUUUUUUUAAAAUGAUAAAAUUUAAAAUAAAAUUGGCAAAUAGCAAAAUCCAUAUAGUGAUUUUUAUCAAAUAUAUUUAAAACGUGAGACCAUAAUUUAGAAAGCUAAAAUGAUGUGUUUUACCAUAAUUCUAAAAUCUUGGAAUAAGUGAGGUUUAAGUUACUUGAACAAGUUUGAAACUUGCAUUGAAUCUCUAGAAUAUGAUCAUUGUAAUUUAAAAAAAAAAAAAAAACGAUUAUUCUAAAAGAAAAGACAUGAUGUAGGAUCACAGAGCUAAUGAUUGGGAAAAAAAUUAAGUAAAAAAAAAAAAUGUGUGUAAUGCAUUGUGUAGAUAAGUCAACAUAUGCAUGGCUAAUUAUAGACGAAUUUGCCCCAUUGAAUGUUGGGAGAGAGAGAGAGAGAGAAUAAUUUGCCUAAUCAGAGACAAGGUCCCCACACGCUUUUUCUUUUUGACCAAGACUUGUGUUUAUAUCGAGAGAGAGAGAGAGAGAGAGAGAGAGAGAGAUGUUCUUUUUGGCAAGGUGGCAUCUCAGCAACUACAAGGCUUUGAGACGAUUAUUUUCAUAGCUGUAGAAUUGCUAAGCCCUAUUUGAUAUUUGAUUUUCACUUGGAAAAAUAAGAAAUGUUUUAACUUUGACUAAUUUUUUUUUUUUUUCCCUUUCGUUUUAUCAACCUCUAAAUUUUUCAACAUGCAAAUGCAAUUUUCCAUUAAAAAUUAAAUUAAAUUCAUUUUUAAAAUUUUCAAAUAAUUAUUGACUUACAAAAGUAAAUUAAAUUAUCUCAAUUUCAUUUUCAUAUAAUUGAAUUGAAAAAUGAAUUUAUUGCAAAUGAGGAAAAAUGUUAAUUGAAAAAACCAAACUAAUUUGAAAUAGGUGUUAUUUUUUAUCAAGAAAAUUUAAAUUUAAAACUUUUAAAUUUUUACUCAAAAGCAAAAUCAGUAAAUAAAAAUAACUUAAUUUGGUUAAGAAAUAAAUCUAAAAUAUGACCAUAAAAUUCAAAAAUUGAAACUAAAAUUCAACCAUAUGCAACGAAUAUUUUUGUCUAAUAAGGAUUCAACUUCUUGUGAAAUUACGUUUCAUAAAUUUUUAUAAAUUUUGUCCUUAAAAAAAAUAUAGUAACAUUAAAAAUCAUAUAAUUUGGAUUAAAAAUGAAUUUACCAUCUUUUUUCAAAGUUUACUUAUUUACAAUUAACAAAACUAAAAUCAACCAAUAAUCAUCAAAAUAAAUUUUUCUUCAAUUAGAAGUUUAGAAGGAAUCAACUUUUCCAAUUAUUUUUUGAAAAAUAAAAUAACAAGAUUUGAUAUCCUUCCUCAAAUUAAGAAUAGGAAAUUAAUAAAUUGAUUUCAACAAUGAACACAUAUUUAAUUAACAAAUCCAUAAACAUAAGGAUGCACUACAUAAAAAUCAAUCAUAAUAAAUGAAAUUUAACUUAAAUAAUGUUAAAAAUAAUUAGAAACAAUAAUUAUUACCCAAUUACCAAUUUAUUUAUUAAUUACAUUAAUAAUCAUUAACCAAUAUUUUGUUAUUGUAAUCAAUUUUUCUAUUUAGGUAUAUCUUGAAAUAUGCUAAAUUAUUUUUUCUUUUCAGAUAUCAUAUCUUUAAUAUAUAAAAUAAGAAGAGAUAAAUUAUUAACCAAUGACCAAUUUACCAACCAAUUACAUCAUUAAAUAUUAUAAAAUUUUAAUUAUUGUAACCAAUUGUGUGAUUUUGGGAUAUUUCAAAACAUAUUAAAUUACUUUGUUCUUUGAAAUCAUUAGCUUUCAAAUUAUUAUCUUACUAUAUAAAUAAGAAAAAAUAAAUAAAUUUUGUUAUUUUUAGAAAUUUGGAAAUACAAUAAGUUAUUUAAAAAAAUAUUAAUAUUCAAAUAUCUUUAUCUUAAUUAUAAUAAAAAAAAUUAUCUCAUUAUGUAGACCCCAAAAUUUGCCCUUUUCUUUUACAUUAACUUUGACCCCCAAUUUUGUCUUUAGAUUUAAAAUUUCAAUUACAUUAUUUUUUAACUCGCUCAUCAUUUAAUAGUUUUUAUUAUUUUGUAUAUCAUUUCAUUUUAUUUUAUUAUCAAUAUUUUUAUUUUAUUAUUAUUAUUAUAUAUAUAUAUAUAUAUAUAUAUAUAUAUAUCUCUCUUCUCUCUCCUCUCUCUGCUCCCCAACCACCCCACCUCUCUCUCUUCCCAUUCUUCCCACCCCCAUUCCCAAGAUUUUCCCCCCAUUUUCCGCCCCUUCCCCCCACUCCACCUUCCUUUCCCCCCAUUUUUGUUUUUCUCCCUAUUUUGCCCCCCCCCCCCCACUCUGAUUUUUAUUUAUUUAUUUUUCACUUUUUGCCCGCAGCCGGCCAUUGAAGAGUUUUGACACUUUCCUUUCCCCCCAUUUUUGUUUUUCUNNNNNNNNNNNNNNNNNNNNNNNNNNNNNNNNNNNNNNNNNNNNNNNNNNNNNNNNNNNNNNNNNNNNNNNNNNNNNNNNNNNNNNNNNNNNNNNNNNNNUUUGCUUUGAGUAAAAAUUAAAAGUUUUAAAUUUAAAAUUUUCUUGAUAAAAAAUAACACCUUUUUUCAAAUUAGUUUGGUUUUUUCAAUUAACAUUUUUUCCUCAUUCGCAAUAAACUUCAUUUUUCAAUUCAAUUAUAUGAAAAUGAAAUUGAGAUAAUUUAAUUUACCUUUGUAAGUCAAUAAUUAUUGAAAAUCUUAAAAAUGAAUUUAAUUUAAUUUUUAAUGGCAAACCCCAUCCCCCCUGUUGAAAAAUUUAGAGGUUGAUAAAACGAAAGGGAAAAAAAAAAAAACCCCUCUAAAGUUAUUUCUUGUCCUCAGUUUCCCAUUGAAGGUUUUUGGGGGGGGGGAGGGGGGGGGCCAUUUUUUCUUCCCUUCCUCCUCCAGUCGACCUCCAUUUUUUUUUUUUUUCCUUUUUCUUCUUCCCCAAAAACACCCAACAUCCAGCUCCCCCAUUCCUCUUUCAUUUUAAUUUUUUAUUUUAUUAUUUUUAUUUCAGUUUAUUUUAUUUUAUUUUAUUUGUAAUUCCCAAAAAAACCAUCCACUACUAUCGGCAAGAUCACUGGCCAGACGCCGUCGGCCGGCGACCUCCUUCCGUUUCUCUCAUUACCUCACUUCCCGUAUCACUUUAUUAUUAUUAUUAUUAUUAUUAUUAUUAUUAUUAUUAUUAUUAUUAUUAUUGUUAUUGUUAUUAUUAUUAUUGUUAUUGUUGUUAUUUUAUUUUAUUUUAAUAGUAAUUGUUGUUUGUGAAAUUUGGAUUGUUGAAUUAAUAUGAAAUUUAUGAUUAAUUUAUUGUGAGUAGAUUAAUACAUAAUUUGAUUUAAUUUAUUGUUAGUGAAUUAAUUUGAAAUUUGUUAAUUUGGAUUUAUGGGCAUAUUGUAUUUGGUGAUUAAUUUAGGGAUAUUUGGAUUAUAUCAAUUGUAUAUUGUUUAUUUGGACUUGGAUCUAUUGUUAAGUUGUUAUUUGUUUGACCUUAUUGGAUUGGGCUUGGAAUAUUAUUUCUCUUGAUCGUGUAUUUUUUUUAUGUGGGCUUGUUAAUUAAUGUGAAUUUUGGGGCCCAUAAUGUGGGUGAGAUUUGUUGGAUUAUUUCAAUAUUUGAUAUGGGCUUAGCCAAUUUGAAUUGUUUAAUUUGGACAUGGGACAAUUGUGGUGUAUAUUAAACUAGGCUUAGAUUAUGAAAUAUUAAAUUUAGGUCUAGUAGAAUUUAUUUUAAUUUAUCCAAUUUUAGGUUUAGUUGAUUGUGUUUGUAUUUUUUGUUAUUAAUUUGGAUGUUCUAGGUUAAGACCUAUAGUAAUUUGGACUCAUUUUAAUUGACGAAAUUUAUGGGACUGAUUUGAAAUUGGAAUUUGGGUUUGAAUAUUUGUUUGAGGUUUUAUAUAUCUCUGGAUAUUUACAUCUGUGUUAUUCUUGUUUUUGCAUGGACCCACUCUGCAAUCUUGUUAGCUGAGUACGACUUGAUGACACGUAGAGCUUGUUGUAAGUUUAUUUGGGUAUAUAUUUUAUUUCCCACUUUUAUUUGGUUUUAUUUUUAUUAGGUCUUGUAAAUAUUUGUUUGUAUAUAUUUAUUGAGUGUGCGUAGAAUUGAACAUUGAACAAACUAAAAUUUUUUUUUAAAUGAGAGGACGAAGCCAGUAAAUUUGUUUUAAUAAAACAACAAUUUUAAAAUAUUAUUUUUAAUAAAAGAAAGUUUUUUUAUUAUUUAUAAAAAUUCAUAAAAAUGCAUUUAGAAAAAUCCAAAAAAAAUAUUUUUAAUAGAAUUUGAAAAAUUGUUUUUAAUGACAUUGUUCAAAAAUUUCUUUGUUUAAUAAAAAUUGUUUUGUAAAUAAAGUUGUUCCAAAAAUUAAUUUUUAGUAAAAUUGUCUAAAAAUAUUUUUUUAAAUGAAUUCUUUUUCCUUAAUUAAAGUGAGAUUAAAAGUGUUUUUUCAGGAAAUAGAGAAUUUAAAUCUUUGUUCUUCUUUUUAAUUAAAUUUUUUUUUUCAAAUAAAGUUAUGUCAUUUUAAAUAAUUUAUAAAAAUCACUCUUUUAAAUGAAAAUGAAUCUAAAAACUUUUGUAAAUAAAAUCGUAAAAAUUCAUUAUUUUCUAGUAAAAGUAAGUAAAAAUAAUUUUUGUCCUCAAAUUGAAAUUUUGUAAUAAAUUCUUUUGAUACAAUAAAUGUAAAUAACUUUUUUUUUUACAAUUGAAUACAAAUGAAAUUGAGAAAAUAAAUUGAUUCUUUUUUAUAAGUAAAUAAAUGGAAAUCAUUAAUUCAAAAUCAUUUGAAAUUUCUUUAAAACUUUUUUUAAUAUCUCUUAUUUAUUUAAUUCAAUCAAUCAUUUUGCAUAAUUAUCUCAUUAUUUAUUUUGUGUAUUUUUGUAAUUAGAUUUCAUCAUUGUUUUUGUGCAUAUUAAUUUUCACUAUGACUUGUAUAUUGAUUAUUUUUUCUUGGUAUCCAUAAUUAAUUAAUUAAUUGCCGCAAUUUUCUCAAUUCGUUUAGUAAAGGUCGUACGUAUACGGGAGAGGGAUGCUAUAGCUCACCACCGUACCUUCCCAAUGAGUAACCUAAUUCCCGGACCCAGACUCGAUUUUUACAGACCUGUUUUUUUCCUUCAGGAGUCACACUUAGGGUUUUUCUUUCUUAUUUUGUUUUUUCUUUUAAAAAUAAAACAAAAAUAAGUGGUGACUCUGAGUCUUUUUCUAAAAUCAAAUUUUCACCAAAUAAAAUAAAAAACGAGUUUCGUCAUCGAGUGGGAACACAUCAAGCAAAAUACGGGGUCCACACAUUAUUAAAAAUAAAUAGAUUUAAUAAUUAAUAAAACAUUCAUAAAAUUAAACAAAUUAAUAUUUUAAUAAUAUUAUUACUAAAAAGCGUUUCAAAUUCUUAAUUAAUACAAAUUCCUUUUUAUAAAGUAUAUUAUAUGAAAUAUUUCCUUGAUGGGAUAUUAAAUUUCCUUAUAGGACAAGGAAAGGUACUAAGAAUAUUUUUAUAAAUAUUGUAGUUAUGAGGGGAAAAAAAUUAUGGGAUGGGGAUGAGUUUGUAAAGAUCACACUAGGUGGAUAGAAAUGUGAAAAAAGAAUGAAAAACACUUAGUGAAAAUAAAUAAAUAAAUUAUUAUAUCAUCAUUUUUAUUUUUGUAUUAAUAUCAUAUAAAGAAAUAUAAUUCUAAUACUUCUUAUUUAUCAUAUUAGAUAAUUAAAAUAAAAAAUUUUAUUUUAUAAGAAAUUUAAUUUUAAUAUCAAUCAAUUAAAAAAGAGUUUGGUUUACUAUAACUCUCUUAAAUUAACUAAAAUACGCUUUUUUUUAGAAUUUUAAUUUUAUUAGGUAAAGGAAUUACUAAUAAAAAUUUGCAUUUAAAAGAAGACAUAUUUUAAUAUAAAAUUAUUUAAUAAUAAAAAUGAUAAAUAUAAAGUAAAAAAGUGAUACAAUUUUAAAAUUCACCUUCCCUAUUUUGUCUUACCAAAAUUUAUGUUUUGAAAGUCAUUACCAAAAUUUAUUUAUUUUUCUUAUUUAUAUAAUGAAGAUAAUAAUUUGAAAGGUAUUAAUUUAAAAGAACAAAGUAAUUUAAUAUGUUUUGAAAUAUCCUAAAAUCACACAAUUGAUUACAAUAAUUAAAAUUUUAUAAUAUUUAGUGAUGUAAUUGGUUAGUAAAUUGGUCAUUGGUUCAUAAUUUAUCUUUUCCUAUUUUAUAAAAUAAAGAUAUGAUAUUUGAAAAUUAAUAAUUUGAAAAAACAAAUAACUUAACAUAUUUCAAGACAUACCAAAACAGUAAAAUUGAUUACAAUAACAAAAUGUUGGUUAAUGAUUAGUAAUGUAAUUAAUAAAAACAAUUGGUAAUUAGGUAAUAAUUAUUGUUCCUAAUUAGAUGUCAUUGCUAAAAAAAUGUUAAAUCUUUUUAAGUUAAAUUUCAUUUAUUACUUAUUGAUUUUUGUUAAUAAAAUAUGUGUUCAAUUGUUGAAAUUAAUUUAUUAAUUUCUUGUUCUUAAUUUGAGGAAGAUAUCAAAAUCUUAUGAUUUUUAUUUAUUUAUAAUUAAUUGGAAUAGUUGAUUCUAGAACAUAUUUAUUACAUUAUGAAUUUGUGUUUUGAACUUGAAUCAAUGAUUAUUAGUUUAUUUUAUUUUUCUUAAUUGUAAAUGACUAAACUUUGAAAAAUUAUAGUAAAUAUAUUUUUAAUCCAAAUUUUAUGAUUUCAAUGUUAGUGAUUUUUUUUUUUUUUAGAAUGAAUUUACAAAAAUUUUAUGAAGCUUAAUUUCAUGAGAAGUUGAAUACUUACAAGACAAAAAUAUAUGUUUAUGUGGUUGAAUUUUAGUUCUAAUUUUGGAAUUUUAUGGACAUAUUUUUUUAUUCAUUUCUUAAUUUAAGACAAAGUUAAAGCAUCUCGUAUUUUCGAGAGUGUGGAAAACCAAACAUUAAUGUUUAAGUCAAACAAGCCUCAGCAAUUCUAUAGCCAAGAAAAUAAUUUCAUGGAGAGCAACCCAAGAGCUCAUGGAAAAUAAUUGUCUCAAUUCCUUAUUAUUUUUUAUCAUUAGGUGUGAAAUUCUCUCGCAAAAACCUUGUAGUUGCCUAGAUGCCACCUUGCUAAAAGCGUGUGGGGACCUUCUCUCAGCUCAAAAACAAGGAAAUAACACAUAGGGACGUGCAAUGGGGGAAAACUCAUCCAUGGUUAUUCCUUCACUCAUGCAUUUAUUUUCUAUGUUGGAUGUUUUCAAAAUUGGACCAGAGUUUAAUAGUCAAACCGAUGAUUGAAUUAUAAUGACGUUGGUGGCAUCAUAAAAAUAUAAUUUAUAUAUUAUUAAAAUUAAAAAUAAUUAUAAAAAUUAAAAAACGUAUAAAUAGUUAAAAAAUUUAAACACAUUUCAUCAUUUUAUUGUCAUUAAUAUUGAUAGCUUAAAUUAUGAUAAAAAUAAUAUAAAGAUUUAUUAAAUUAUUAUCAAUUUUAAUUUUAUUAAAUGUAUCAUUUUUAUUAUUUAAGUUUGUUUGAAUUUCAAUAGUUAUAUAUUUUACUAUCUUCAAAUUAUUAUUAUUUUUAUUUAAAUAUUAUUGAUAAAUCGUAAAACUUUAUAUUCAUUUUAAAUCUUGCAAUAAUGUGUACAUAGUUUUUCUUUAUUUAUUUUUGUUUCUGAAAAAACCAUAGGCUUAGCUUGGUGGCCUUUUUGAUAUUUCCAUUCCAAAUACCCUGGUUCAAAUCUCAUUGUUCAAUGGCUUUUUCCCCUGAAAGCCGAACAAGCCCAUAAGUUUGUCAUUAACAUAGAAAUGGGCUUGGGUGAUGGGUGUGGGCUUAAGCGCCCGAGUGGAGCACUUGGACUAUGGGCCAAUAGCUGAGUUUGGAAAUGAGAGUAGCUUCUAGAUCGGCCGUGCCGCGAGAAAUAAUUUUUUCUGGAAAUAAAUUAAUAAAUUAAGGAAAAAAAAAUUCAAAUCGGAAUGCAUUUGGGAUAAGAUUACUCAAUGGGACGGAUAUUAGUCACCCCAGCAAGCCCAAAAAAUUCAUCAACUCUUUACCAAGUAAGUUGAUACAAUUUCCACAUUUUUUUACUUAAUUGAUGGAUAUUCAUAUCAAAAAUAAAAUAACACAAAUUAAUUUAUUAGAUAAAUUAUAAUUUUCUUCAAUAUCAAUUUCACUAAAAUUAAUUUAUAGGAUAAAAUCAAUUUAAAGGACAAAAUUUUAUUUUUCUUCAUUACGAAUUCCACUAAAAUUAAUUUAUGGAAUAAAAUCAUUUUUUUUAAUGUCCAAUGAAUUUAUUAAUUAAAAUUGUGAUUUGCUAAUUUCAACUUUAUAAUAAUCGACUUAUGAAAAUAAACCCGAAUUUAUCCAAUAUUGCCUUCAUAAUAUGCAACUUACAUAUAAAAUUAUAAUUUUAUUCGCAUCGUUAGUAAUUAAUUUGCACAACCAAAUUCUAGUUUCAUUAAUGCAUAUCUUAUAGUAAUCAAUUUAUGAAAUAAAUUCUGAUAUUACCCACAUCAAUCUUAUACAAAUCCAAAAAAUCAUAUUCUAAUUCUGUCAAUACCAGCUUUAUAAGACUGAAUAUAGUAGCAUCCCCAUUUCUUCAAUGUGAAUUUCAUAAUGGUCCAUUCAUAGAAUAAAAUCUAGAUUCUAACAUCAUGAUUUUAUGAUCGAACACCAAUUGUAUAGUAAAUGAGUUGGUGAAAUAUGAUCUUAAUUUGAUUAAUAUUCAACUUUGUAAAAUCAACUUAUGACUUAAUUAUUGAUUCCAUUACGAUCAAUCUUAUAAGAAAUCAGUGUGUGGAAUUUUGUGACCUAAAUAUUGGUUUAAUUACAUCAAUUUGAAUUAACAUCUGAUUAAUUUUAUUAAUUCUAGAAAUUAUAGGUAUUAAAGUAAAUUACAAAUUAUAUAUGCAAGUACAUCAAAUUUCCAUUAAUUUCAUAUUUGCUUGCAUUUCUUCUUCGGCCUUAAUGUGUUAAGUUCUUGUUAUUGCUUUCUUCCAAGUGGUUGUAAGCAUGAGAGCUUGUACUACAUUGAUGCUAAAACAUGCUUCUCAUGCAAUAUAGUGGAAACAAGAACAUGGUAGAAAGUACAAGAAACCUAUUUAGAUGUGUUUUCCAUCAUGCCAAAAUAUUAAAAGUAUUAUCAUUGCCCAAAACAAGGGAAGGAGUUUUAGGAUAAUAUUGUAAUUUCAAAAACGAAUUACAACUUGAUUUCCUCUUUUUUGACGAAAUCCCAAGAAGGAAGCUUACUUUUAAAGGAAGAUGAUUGAGAUUAAGAAAUUUGUGCAAAAGAAAUGUUGGUCCAAUAUUUAGAACUAUAUUAUAAAAAUUGUUAUAAACAUUUAUGGUAAUUUGUAAAAAAUAACAGUAUUACCAUGUUCGUACUAUUAUCAUAUGGGUAUAACCGAAAACGAAGAACUAACUUAUUCUCUCCUCUUUGUUCUCAAUUAAAUUUUACAUUUAAUUUAUAACACAUUACCAACACAUCAUUUUGACAAUAAAAAGAGAAGAUAAUUCAUUCACAAGAGUUCUUGCUUACCGAAAAUACAAGAAAAAAAUUCAUCCAUAAGAGUUUUUGCUUGCUUGAACACUAAACCAUUUUUAUAAAGAUAUAUGGUCAUAUUUUCUUCAAACACUUUGAUUUCAAAACAUAUAUUAAAAGUGAUAUUUCUUCCUGUUAGGAAUUUGAGGUUAAUCCAAAUUAUGGUAAUCACCCUAGAGGGGGGGGGGUAAAUAGGGUGAUGGUCUCUUUUUCACAAAUUUAAACUAUGCAAAAAUAAGAGACAAUUAUAUGCAAAUAUAUAAUAAACAAAAUAAACACAAUUGCAUAUAAUUUAAAAGAGUUAGGGAAGAGAGAGUGCAAACACGAGAGUUUAUAGUGGUUCGACACUUCCUUGCCUACGUCCACUCUCCUCAACCUCAUAACCGAGUGAGGGUUCCACUAUCUUGAAGCUUCAACCAAGCUUCCAAUCUCUUUACAAUUGAAUUAUGGUUCCAAUUCACCCUCUUGAACUUUUGGCUCCAAGCACCCUUUACACUUCUUCAAGAAAUAUCCUUCUCUUGAACAACCUCUCAAGUGAUACCCCUUACUUGAGAAAAUUCCUCACAAAGAUAUACAAAUAAUGAUCUCUCAAAAUCCUAGUAAUAGAACUUUAGGUUCAAAGAUACAAGAAAAACUAGGAUUGAAUGGUGUACUAAAGAUAUGCAAGUUAUGAAACAAUGGUGCACUCAAAAAACACUCUUCCAAGGCUCAAAUAUAAUCAAGAAUGAUUUGGGAAGGUUAAACUUAUGAAACAAUGAAGAUUGGAGCCUUUUUAUAGAAGAAAAAAGCCAAACUAGCCAUUGGGGGUUCGACCGGUCGAGCUAGGAGUCAACCGGUUGACUAGCCGUUAGGGAAAGUGACUGUUGGGCCUCAACCGGACCUCAAUAGGUUGAGGUUCAACCUUGAUCGGGAAGAGAAGGCCACUGGGAAAGAGAGAAACUUUUUGGCCUCCCUCAACCGGUCCUCGAUCGGACAAGCACAACCGGUUGAACUGGUUGAACCAUUUUUUUGGCUCAACACUCAACCUUUUUCAACUUAAAACCUUUUAACACAAGUUUGAAAAUCAUUUAACACAAGGUUUUAGUUGAAAACAUGAAAUCAUCCAAUUCUUAAGAUAUUUAAAACAAUAUUACUCUUGGAUGAUUUUGGUGCAUAAAUAAAGAAUGAAAUGCAUGAAAGUCCUAGUGCGCCAACAACCUUACAAAGAGAUCCUAAGAAGCUUUGGUCUUGAAAAACUCUUCUCUUUGAGGUGGUCUUCUUCUUCAUGAUUUCUCCUUGGCUUGAUUUGUCUUUGGAUUGCCACUUUGGAAGUCGUCUUGCCUAAUCACACUUCAAAUAUGAUCAUUAGUUCUAAACCUUGUUUUGUUAUCAUCAAAAUCAAGAUUAACCAAACCUUGAUUUCACACUUCCUAUUUUGGUUUUAUUAUUAUAAUUUUUAUUUACUUAAUCUCAUAACUAAAAACUAUGAAGAUAAUUUAUAUUCAUAAUUAUCUUAUAGUAAGACGUUAUGUAGACAAUUUCUAAUUAUCUUGUAUAAACAUAAAUUAUACAAAAAAAAUUAGCAAUUAGCAAUUAGCAAUUCUUUAACAAGAGUUAUAUAGACAAUUUCUAAUUAUAGUGUACAAAUAGAAGGUAUAUAACAAUAAAAAAAAAUUAUUUUUCUAUAAUUAUUAUAAUUUAUUAAUUGUUUUAUAUUACGACAUCACUCAAAUUCUAAUUACUUAUAACUUGAAGUUAAGCAUAAAAAGCUAGUAAAUUAAUAGAUGUGAAAACUCAUAUAGCCAAAAGCUAUAUAAAUUUUUUUAUAUUAUAAACUAAUAUUAUCAUAUAUCGUUACAAGUUAUAUUAUUAUUAUUAUUAUAAGAAAAUUAACAUUCUUUGUACAAUCAAGAGGCUAUGUUUGUAGGAAUGACCUUAAAAGAUCAUUCCAAGCCCAAGAUCAAUAGGGUGUUUACAAAUCUAUCCUAGGGAUCUUUAGAUCUAUGCAACGAAAGUAUAUAUUAAAUAAAAAUUAUAGAUCUAAGUGCUCAGAAUACUAUACCUACGAUCCGGAUGUUCUCAAAUUGAUUUGAAUAAGUGAAAAUAUGAUGUGGAUCUUGGAAACUAUGAGAUCUUUUGCCCAAUAACACUCUUUUUUAGAUCCUAGCAUGUGAGGAUGGUGGAAUCCUCUUUAAUCGGGUGGAGACUAAAGUUCAUCUCUCUGAAAGAUUGAAUAGCAAGACUGCAAACCCUAAAUCCUUGAGGAGGUUUAUAUAGGUUUACCUAUAAGUAUAAGUAACUUAAACACAUUGUUAGGCUUGGAUCACUUAAACUAGCCUAUUAGGUCCUAAUUAAUUAAUUAGUCUUAUUGUGUUCCAAUUGAUUAAUUAUCUUAAUCUAGAGACAUGCACCAUUCAUAAUCUCUUGCAUACUCUUGCAUAUUUACCAAAAUUCCUUAAUUUAUGCACACAAAUGAAUAAAGAACCUAAAUAUAUCUUAAGUAAUAUGUCAUUGAGGAAUAUUACUUCAAGUAAGAAUCAUUGGGACCUAUAGAAAAGUAUUGGCUCCCUUAUGAUGUAAUUUUGAAGUUGACUCAACAUUCCACUAAAAAGAGUUAACUGCAUUCUAGUAUCUUAUAAUAUUAGCUCGAGAUAGAAUACUUGGGUUCAUAACCUUCUAACGAUUGCAUGCAAGCUUCCCAUGAACCAAUGUUUAUAAUUUAACAAGGUGAAUGUUAUCACUCUCUUAAAAUUACUUUUACAGUAUUUUAGUCUCAAAUCCUCUUAUUAUAUAAUCAAUUGACACAUUCUAACUCUUUAAGCACAUAUAUCAAAUUCCAUUUAACUAAUUAUUAUAGUCAUAGAUUCGUACUUCUAACUUUCAUCCAUCCUUUCAACACACUUCUAUGACACUCAUACCAUAGGGCCUCUACUAUCAGUCUACUAUUAAACUUCUUGAGAUGUCUCAUAUCCUACGAUUUAUGGAUCAUUUCAUCAAGACCAACAUAUAUCCUUUUAACCAACAUAAUAAGAGUUCUAAAGCGACUCAACAGGAUUGUACCACGUGUAUAUGAGGCAACUGGUAAAGCCUAACUUGGCUGGUUCUAGAUGUCAUCUAUUAUUUUCUAAGGGAAGUGAAAGAGAAGUUGUUAGCUUUAGCAUGUUUAAAGAUACAACACCAACUCCAUGGUAACCAACUCAAGUGCACUGUAUUCAAGAUCACCGACACAACAGUUACACAGUUGGCAUGACUAUUAGCGCAGUUAGCUAGGUAGUUUUCCCUUGUUAUAACAAACUCUAAUAGUUGUUAAGAACCUACUGCUACUUAAGGAAGUCACCACCUGUAUUGUAAACUUAAAUGAACCAAUAAUGAGAAAUAGCUAAUAUUUUCUUUCAUUCAUUUUCUUUUGCCUUUUAACACAACACGACAAUAUCUCAUUUCAUUAUCUAAAUUGUUCUCUUAGUAUCCAUUGCAUUAAGGCUACCAAUUACCUAAUUUCGAUUGAUGACUUGCACACUAUUGUCUACUCUAUUGAUUACUGAAAUAUUGUAUUAGUUCACUCUGAGUCUUAGCUAGCUACUCUUGGCACUCGUAGGAAUAGGGUUCUGCAUAUUUUUUCCUUUUCAUUUGAUGUCGAAAGCAAUCCUCCUACCCCAAUUGCCCUUAUGCCCACUGCACAUGCAAGUACUUCACCUAUUUUGUCUGCUCCAUCUCAGACUAUCUCUACUACUCCUACCCCUCUAUCAUUAACACCUAUUCACAACAUUCUUAGACUUUCUCAGCCUCAGGUUGAUGAUCAUACUCCAAGUUUACUACAAGUUAUGACCUAUUUGGCCAUGCUUUAAGACCUCUUUAUGAGCAUGGACUCUUGUAUUGAUUUCAAGCUCAGUUGCAUGGAGACCUGCAUGUGGGCGAUUUGACUUUUGUCAUUCAACAACUUAGUUUUUUGGCUAGAGUCCUCAAAUUGAGAGAUGGUUUGGUACCACCAGCUUAUGGAAACCUAGAGGUAGAUGGUGGUACUAUGGUUUGCCUCCAUUUUUUAUACCAAAGUUGAGGGAGCAAUGCCUGUAGCCACACCCAUCCUACAACUCGGGUGCAUUAGGAGUUGCACUGAAAAUCCAAGUCAUGGGUUCCUUCCAAGUUAAAAAAUUGUUCAUAGCUAGUUCAUAGACUUAGAAAACCUAUUUAAGGUUGUAGUGUACAACCUCUUAAUUGGAGGGAUGAUUUGUCUUGGUCAUUAUGAUGAGUUUCUCACGGUAAGUGCAUUGUGUGCAUGGUUAUACAUUGGACGAGGCCUAUAAUGAAUCAUGACAUUUACUAUUAGGGAGUCAUGAUUUACCAAACUACUAUGUUGACCUUGAGAAAAUAUCGAGAUAAUACUGAGAUCUUUAGUGGCUUUGGCUUAUAAGUGAGACCCUAAGGUGGUCAUAUAUUCCCUAUAGAUUGAUCACUAUUGAUUAAAGCAAGUGACAAUAGGCAUUUUCAAAAUAGGCACCAUAAUAUCUUAUGGGAUUAGGACAAUGUGUCCCCUUGGGUGAUUAUAAGUGAAUAUGAAAUCUAUGGCGUUGUAGGAAUCCUUUUAGUGGAAUUUGACAUAUGCUUUAUGUUAGUUAGAGUAUGUCAAGUGAUCAUAUAAUAAGACAAUUUGAAACUCAAUGAUUGUAGAUGAAAUCUUGAGAGGUUGAUAGCAUUUAUCUUGUUAGAUAAUGGACACUAGUCCAUGGAGAGUCUAGAUGCAUGUGAUAGUAUGUCAUGGACCAAAAGAAUGAUUAGAUUGAAUUUGAUCAAUUUUUAUCUUGAUAACAUAGGAUACUGGAGUGAAAUUAACUUUCUUUAAUGGAUUAUUGAGUUACCUUCGGAACUGGAUUAUAAGGGAGUCAAUAUCUUGAUAUAAUAACAUAUGAUACUAGAGUGCAGUUGACUCUUUUUAGUAGAUUAUUAAGCCAACUUUCAAAACUAGAUUAUGAGGAAGCCAAUAUUUUCUUAUGGGUACUAAUGAUCCUUACUCAAACUCACAGUCUUUGUUGACACAAAGGUUUAAGGGAAAUUGGAGAUUUAAUCAUAUGCUUGCAUAAUGACAUUUAGGUAAAAGAACAUGAUUACAUAUGAAGUUAUGAUGAAUGUUUUCAAAAUCGGAUGGGUCAUUAAACCGAAAAAAGUUGUCAAUUGACGGUUCACUGGUCGAACCAAAGAUUGAAUCGCAAUCAAACUAGUAAUGUAAUAAAUAUAUAAUUUAUAUACUAUUAAAAUUAAAAAUAAAUUAUAAAAUUUUAAUCCAUAUAUAUAUAUAUAUAUAUAUAAAAUUAAAAUUUUAAUAAUAUUUCCUUUUUUAUAUUUGAUAUGUCAAAUUAAAUGGUAAUGAUAAAUAUAAAUGUACUAAUAUAAUAAAUUUUAUUAAAUAGAACAUGUAUAAUAUUUAACCAUGAAAAUAUAAUUAAGAUGAAAAGAAAAUUUUAAUAUUUAAUUUUAUCUCUAUCUAUUUUAUUAUUUUAAAAUUUUAGAAAUUAUUGUAUUGCUUUUAUACUUAUCAUUAUAUAGUUGUUAUAAAAAUAAUUGUGAAUAUAAAUAUUUAUAUUUUUAAAUAGACUUAAAUGAUAAAAAUUUGAUAAAAAAAUCAAUAUUUUAUUUUAUUGAAACAUUUAUUAAGUUGGUUGCAUAGCCUAGUGGUCCAAGUAUUGGCCUUUUUAAUCCAAGAUCCUAUGGUUCAAGCUUUCUUAAACAUUAUAAGUAAUCUCACAUUGGAAGUUUACAAAUUAUAUUUCAUGUAUAAAAACCUUGCUUAUUCUUGGAGCUUCAAACAUAUUGUUAGGCUAGAGUAUGUUAUGGGGCUGCAGUCAAAGCUCAUUAGGCCAUAAAUGAAAGGGGUUCACAUUAUGAUUUUGGUCAAAAUAUUAGUAUUGAUUGGUUCAAGGGAAAUGGGACAGUUUGUUUGGUUCGACAAUCAAACCAUCGGUUUGGAUGAUUCAAGACCAAUCUAACAUAGCAAUAAUUCAUUCCAGUCAACUAGACCGAAGAGCUGUUGAUUGACGAUUUGACCAAUUUAAUUAAUUGAUAUGAUUUGACUUUUAAUCAAAGGAGUCAUUGAGCCAAAGAUUGUGAGGUUUUGAGAAAUCUUUUAUAAAAAAGGAUUUGAGUUUGAGAAUAUCCAAACCCAAGAAUGGUUUUUAUUUGUUAUUGGGUCCUCUUAAACAUGCAUCAUGUUGGUAUAAUGACUCAAAUAAAUAUAAAAUAAAAUAAAAAUUUUAUUUUAUAGACUCGAUAAUUUUCACUUGUGAGAGCCGAAACAAUAGAAUAAAUAUAAAAUAAAAAUUAGAAGAUAGUUUAGGUGACCUUUACAUACAUUUUUUGCAAAACUUCUAUAGAAAAAAAUCAUGAUUUAACCCAUGCUCUCCAAAGCUACUAUUAAAAUUUUAAAAUUUUGAAAUAAUUUAUAUAUAUUAAAUUUUUUUUUUAACUUCUAUAAAAGAAAAAAACAUAGAAAUUGACCUUAUGUUCUAAAACAGUAGUGUAGACCCCUUUUGGUGAAGGUCCGGGAGAGGGUUGUUGGCUUUUUAUGCCGAGAAAACAGCCGCAUGGAUAGGUGGCCCAGGGCAUGGCUGGCCAUGCGAGUGGUUGAAGGAGGCCAUGCUGGCUGACCGAGAAACAGGGGAGUGGGUAUAGCUGAGACAUGAGGUUUUCAGAGAAGCAAGGUGGAGAAGGAAAGGGGAAGGCCAGGCUGCAGGCGGAAGGUUGAGAGCUUCAGGGGGUUUUCCAGGAAGCAAAACACCCAGAGAGAGGGCAAAGAGCUCGGAGAAGGAGAAAGGAGAGGUAUGAAUACCAUGGGUCCCUGGAUUUACUUUAUCGAUAUAUAGUCUCAUUUCUUUUUCUCAAUAGUUUAUGUGGAUUGCUUGAUUAUAUGCUCAGUUUCACGGAUCAUGUGUGAGCUAUGGUUUAUUUGUUAAUAUCUCCUUCACUUCUUUGGGUUGCUUUGAGAGUAAUGCAGCUCUGUUCUAACUUUACCAUGCAUCGUGUAGGAGUCUUGUUUUGUUUUCAUUUCUAUGAGAUGCACUCUAGUUUACUCACCUACAGCUAAACUUGUUGAUUAAAACACGAAGCAUGACUUGGGUUGCUUUAUUUAGCUUCGUUAGUUUGUGCUCUGUUUUGUUUCGUCAUUCCCCUGUUCCUGCUUCUGGUACUGGGUUGGCUGCUGUAUGAAGUAGCAAUAUAGCGGAAGAGGAUGGUUUUGACGAGGGGUUUCCUGAGAUGGAGAAUUUUCAGCACAUUAUAGACUCGAAGUCUUGUGAAAGAGUCUGAGAACCGUGAACGCAGAAUUGUCAUUUGAAAGAAACGAUUUACUGUGUCUGAUUGAUAUAUGGGAAGGAAGAAGAGUUUUUAGGUUCUCGUGGACAAAUUCUUAAAGAAGAGUUUGGGAAGAGGCGACUGUGAUUGAGCACACUGAUGUUGCAUUGCUCUGAGACAAUGAGAUCAUCUAUGAUAUCUGCCAUGGUCCGCUGAACAUGAAGAUACCCAUUUAUACCAACCUAAACAUGCUUGGUGCUCAGAUAUUUUUUUUUUAUCAAACUGCAUCUCUCUGUUUCGAUGGAGCCUUCACUGUAGUUUUCUGUGACAGAGAUCACUAGCAGGGCCUUUGAGCCUCUGUCUGUAAUGGCCAAAUGUGACCUACGCCCGGGAGAAUGCGUGUUUGCUGUUUGGUGAAAUAAAAAUGAUGCAGUGAAGUGCAUGCUGCCAAAGCCGCCAUCUCCAUCACUUUUUGCAUGGCCAUGCAUGGCCCACAAGUUUUUUUUUUUACAAAAACCACCCUGCAUACCCAUUAUCCUAUAUACCUUUCUACCUCUUAAUACCCAUUGAAUCUACUCCUCACCAACCUCCAUUACCCAUACUCAUCACCUAACCUAGAUACCCAUAUCUCACCCCCUCAUGCGUUUCCAUUAUCCCCAUUACCCAUACUCAUCACCUAACCUAGAUACCCAUAUCUCACCCCCUUAUGCAUUUCCAUUAUUCCCAUUACCUGGCACGCCCAUAUUCUUCUCAUAAUGCAUCUAAUAAACCCAUUUUUUCUAAUCCCAUUUCUAUUACCUACCUCUCCUAUCAUUUUCCCAUCUUUCUAAUCAUUGAACUCAUAAAUCUCACUUCCCCUCACCACUUUCUAUCACCCUCAAUGGUUCUUACCAUACCCAUAUACCCACCGAACCCUAUGCAUGGCCACCCUCAUUUCUCUCACAUCUCCACUCAUGAUCAUACACAUUUUCUUCAUCAAUUUCAUCCACUACAAGCAACCAAUUCCCUCACCAUGCUCCAUUUCUUUUUAUUCGCAUGCUCAUCUUCAUACUCACUUCUCUCUCUAAACCACCACAUGUCCAUCACCACCUUCUCUCUCUCUCUCUACACCACGUGCCUUUCAAACCUAUUUUUUUCACGCAUUAAACCCAUAUCUUUCAUCUUUGCAUGGCCAUGCAUGGCCACUCCAAACUCCAUACCCGUUUGCCAAUCCUCACGCAUGCAUGGCCACUCCUACCUCCAUACCCGUUUACCAAUCCUUCAUUCUCACCGUUUCCAUCAUUCCCAUGCAAACAGUGCAUCAUGCACAUGGCCACUCAUGUCACGUUCAAUUUCUCUCCACCCUUAUACCCAUCUUAGCGUGCCCACUUCUCUCACUCACCAUCUUUCCAUUCCUUCCAAACUCACAAAACCCUCUCAUCUUGCUACCCUUCAUCCUUCGUUCCAUCAAUAACCACCCGAAGACCAAGAAGAUGCUGCAGUUCCUACGCUUGAGACAAAUAUUUAAUGGCGUCUUUUCGAAAGUGAACAAGACAACAAUGAAUAUGCUGCACGGGUUGUCCCCUACGUGACAUGCGGAUAUCCUAUUUUAAAGAGUGCCUAGGAAUUGAUUUGCAAGCCGGAGUGCAUAUCCGCUACAACGAAGUGUCAUAUCUCUCUCUUGGUGUUCAAGUUGUGAAAGGAGGUACCGAGAACGUUGAGCCUUCUUAGUGAUCCCAUGCGUGAUGGGUGCUCCAUUGUCGGUGAGGGUGGAGCCACAGAAGCACAUUGGUUUCGCUAACACAUGUCCCUUUGGUGGUGGUCGCCCUGGGAGAGUGAAGAGAAAGGACUUGAAGGCGGCUGCCAAGAAGGCUGCUGGUGGAGAUGAUGAUGCCCGGUGGAGAGGAGGGUCGUGAUGGAGAUUGAGGUUUUGGGCUCGCCCAUGAUGACGAAUAUGGGCUUGAGUUGGAGCCCAGGCCCAAGUUUGUUGAUGGAGGGCCUCAUGCCCCUCAUUCCCAUCACCCUUAUGACCCAUACCCAUAUUGAGUCAGCCCAUUUGGCUACUUCAAUUCUAAGUAAUUGUCAAGCUUCUCAUUUUCAUAAUUUAUUUUUUUUUUAAUUUUUUUUAUUUAUUUUGUUUUAUCUUAUUUUACUUUCACAUAUUUUUAACUCAAUUUAAACUCAACUAAAAGACAAAUUAUUAGGAUUGAAUAUCAUUUUCGAAACUUAAAAUAAUUUAUAUUUUAUCUUCUCUUCUUUAGUUAUGUCUAAUCAUCGUAUAUGGAAAUUUUUUUUAUAAUUAGAUUAUGUUGGUCCCAAUGAAUUUUCUAGAUUCCAAAUUUUAAAUCUUAUUUUCAAAACUUAUGUCUUUAAGCAAUUUUUCAAAGGUCCGACUCUCAAAUUUAAUUUACAAUCUCAAAAACCCCACCAUUCACUUUCAUUCGUUUAAAUAUCGUUUUGAUUAAUCAUUAAUGUUAUUCCAUAUUUAUCUAUUUAUCUUUUUUUAAAAUCUCAAUCAUUAAAGUCUAAUUCUUCAAAAAUCCGACUUUCAAAUUUAAUUUUCAAUCUCACAAAUCCCAUUAUUCACUUUCAUCCGUUUAAAUAUCAUUUUUGAUUAAUUAGUAACGUUAUUCCAUAUUUAUCUGUUUAUUUCUUUUAAAAAAAUCUCAAUCAUUGAAGUUCAAUCUUUCAAAGGUCCGACUUGCAAAUUUAAUUUUCGAUCUCAAAAGUCCCAUUAUUCGCUUUCGUUCUUUUAAAUAUCAUUUUUGAUUAAUUAUUAACAUUAUUCCAUAUUUAUCUGUUUAUCGCUUUUAAAAAUCACAAUCGUCAAAGUCCUAUUAUUCAAAAAUCCGACUUCCGAAUUUAAUUUUCAAUCUAAAAAAUCUUACUAUUCACGUUCACUCGUUUAAACAUUAUUUUUGUUGUUAUUAUUGCUAUUCCAUAUUUACUAGUCUAUUUCUUUUAAAAAUUCCCAUCAUCAAAGUUCAAUUCUUCAAAAAUUUGUUUUCCGAAUUUAAUUUUCAAUCUAAAAAAUUUCACUAUUCACGUUCAUUCGUUUAAGUAUUAUUUUUGUCAUUACUUCCAAAUCUAAUUCUCUAUCUCAAAAAUUCCACUAUUCACAUUUACUUGUUUAACGAUUAUUAUUGCUAUUAUUAUUAUUCCAUUCACUUAAUCAUUUACUUAAAAUUCCGCCUUUAAAUAAUUCUUUAAAAUUUCGAUUUCUAAAUUUAGUUCUCUGAAAUUCUAAUUUUCUAAUUUCUGAACUUAAUUUUCAGUUUCCAAUACUCCAAUUCUUGCAUUUAUUCUGUUACUUAUUUAUUAUCAUUAUUAUUAUUAUCAUUUUAUUUAUUUAUUUCUAAAAAUUCUACCUUCGAAUUAUUUCCAAAAUUUUCAAUUUCUAUAAUUCAAUUUUCAUAACUUCUACUUCUCAAAUAAUUUUCAAUCUUGGUUUCCUUCAAAAUUUAAUUUCCAAGGUCCCAAUUUUCGUAACUUAAUUUUUUUUUUUAAAAUCCCGAACUCUUAAAUAAUUUUCAAGAUUCCAAUCUCUUUCAAAUUUAAUUUCUAAAAUUCUCAUUCUUACAUUUAAUUUCUAAAAAUCCAAUUUUCAAAUAAUCUCUAAGACUCCAAUUUUCAAAUAAAUUUCAAAAAUCCAGUUUUCCCUCGAACAGUUUCAAUUUCUAUUUGGUGAUGUAUGUGAUAUGUUUUGUGCUCUUUAUUGUACACUGACCCCAUUUUUAUGAUUGCGCGUUGCUCGUUCGUGGCCCAAUUGCGCAUCCACUCUCUUUGUGGUCAUUCACUAUGCAUGUUUUGGUUCCCAUAUGUGCAUAAUCGAUUUGAGCAUCCCUUGAUUUUCCCAUUGAUUGUCACGUCAACUUCAUUUUAUUAGUAGAGACCCGACUUCAGGGACUUAGAGGAGUACUACGGUCUUUACCAUACCUUCCUGAUAAGUAACCUGACCCCGAUCACGAUCCGGUUUUUCAUAGACCACAUUUUCCAAAAUAAAGAGUCACAUUUAGGGUUUUCUUUCUUAUUUUGUUUACCCUCUUAAAAGUAAAACAAAAAUAAGUGGCGACUCCAAGUCAUUUUCUAAUAAAUAAAAUCAAAUUUUCAAAUAAAAUCGAGUUUGCCAUCGAGUGGAAACGCAUGAGCCGAAAUGCGGGAUCCACAAGUAGUUACCAAAAUUUUUAAAAUUUGAGAUGGUAAAUUUUUUUUCAAUACCUAUAUAUUUUUCUAAACUUUUUUUGAAAAUCAUUGUCUUGUUAAAGUAUGCAUCUUUUAGUGGCUAUUUUCUAUUUUCUAAAAAUAAAAAACAAAAAGGUCUUCGAAUACCACCAUCGAUUUUACAUUCAAUUUUUUAAGUCACUAAUAUUUAUAGAAAUUAUUAAAAUAUUGUUUUUUUUUUCCAAGAACAAGAAUUUAACUUGAGUGCAUUAAUAUUUUCAUUUUGUAAUAACUUUCACAAAUUAUGGAUUCGGAACAACAAAUUAGGAAAAAUUAAAAGAUGUUUUAAGUAUUUUUUGCAAGAUAUUUGAGAAAAAACUUUAAAAUAAAAAAGUAUAUAUAUUACUAAACCAAAGUGUCAAAGAAAGAGAGACUUUCUCAUGAAAAUUGUUUUCUUUACAUAAUUAUCAGAAAAAUAACUAAAUUUUUGUAUUAAAAUUAGGAAACCAAUGUUUAUUUUCUUAGUUUCAAAUGAAUUUGUUUUCUUCUUUUGAGACAUUAAGUGAGAUUACUUGUAUAAGUCCAAUAGUUAUUUAGUAACAAAAAUAAAAAUAAUUUUGUCUUUAGACCAUAGUUUGCAGGACUAUAUAUAUAUAUAUACACAUAGAGGUGAGUUGGGAGUGGUGUAAUUAAAUUUCCAAGGUCAUGUUUUGUUCAGAAGAUUAUUAAAAAAAAAUUGGAAGAAAAUCACAUUUAAUUUUGUUGUGAAAGAAAGAAAUAAAAUAAAAUAUAAUUAAAAUUAUAAAAAUGUGUACAUUUUAAAAUCAUUUGACUUUUAUAAAAACAAAAAACAAAUUAAAAUAAUAUACAAAAAUAAUUUAUUGAUUUUAAACUUAUUUUUUAAUUUUUUUUUUCAUUUUCUCUCUUUUUUCGAUUUUUUUUUCUCUGUUUUCUUUUUCUAACACUUUUCCUCAGAUUUUUAGAAACUAAAUCUAACCUUAAAAAAUAAAAAAUAAAAAAUAAAAUAGUAUAUGCACAGGAUGAGAUUUUACACUGACGUUUCAAGUCAUCAAACCAUAGUCUGCAUUAAACCUAGGCUUAGGGCUGAGUUUAAGCUAAGAGUUAAAUUCCAAGUAUGGGCCAAGCCUAAUGACUUUUCUUAUUUGGGAUAAUUGUUGAGCAUGGAGUGGGCACAUCAACUAUCCCAUCACAAACUAAAUUGUGUCCCACUAAAUUAUUUUAUCGAGGGAAACAUUUAAAAAAUAAAAUUUAUUCAUCCUAAAUGAAACUAUGAACAUGUUUGUAAUUGUAUUGUUUUUUGUUUUAAGUAUUCAUACUUUAUCUAAAAAACUUUUCAAAAAUAUAUAAAAAUAGGAAAAACAAAUCAAUCUCCUGUCAAAAUCUUGGAAUAAAAUUGCUCUUCAAUGACAAAAAAAAUAUCCUAAGGGAAUUUAAAACUAGGCUCAAAAUUAAUGUAAAGAUAAAAUUGGAACAAAUUUUGGGGUCUACACUUAUGUUUAAGAAUAUCUUAGGUAUAAAUGAGUAGAAAUGUGUUUUCUUUUAUCCAUCCUAAAGGGAAUAUACAUGGUCUUGGUAGAUAGAUCAUUGUAAGAAAUAAUCUAAAAAAGAAAAGAAAUUCUUGAGUGAAUCUAACUGAAUAAGUACCCUUUUGUUUGGCCAUGAGGGAAAGGGUGAGAGAGAGCCUUCUAUUUUGUGCAAAAGAGAGAAACAAAGGUUCAAUAUCAUUGACUAGUAAAGCAUUUGUGGAUUCUUUUCUUGUGGAUAUAGGUGAUUUUCAUCAAACCACGAAGCAUCUUGGUGUUGUGAUUGUACUUUAUUUUUUGUUGUAUUUAAGUUCUUGGGCUUAUUUAAUUGAUCUUGUCGAUGUAAAAUCCCCUUAACAAACUGUUAUGAGAGCCUGUAGAUGGAUUUAACAAAGGUUGAUAUUCAAUCAGAAGAAUGAUUUGGCACUAUGGAGAAUGGAGAUGAUAGCAUCACUAGUUAAGAGGCCUUCAAGAAAUUCCUAAGGGUAAACUUACCAAGUUCUUUUAUCCUUUGAGGACAAGACCAAGAUCCCUGAUAAAACACACAAUGUUGUUUUUUUGAGUCUUAGUGAUAAGAUGUUAUGUGAAGUCUUAAAGGAGUCAACUAUAGCUUUGAUAUGGUUGAAAUUGAAGCAUCUGCUCGUGGCAAAAUCUUUGACAAAUAGACUAUACUAAAAGUAGAAAAUGACAUAACAGGUUGAAGACUGUAUUGACAACUUCAAUAAUAUCAAAUUAGAUCUUGAAAAUAGUAAAGUGAAGAUUGAAGAUAAAGACCAAGCAAUAAUCCUCUCAAAUUCAUUGUCUGAGUUAUAUAAGCACUUUGUAGACACCAUGAUCUAUGGUAGAGGGUAUUUAUUUAUGCAAGAAGUAUAGGAUGCCCUAAAUUCUAAGGAGUUGAAGAAGAAAUGUUAUAAGAAUAAAGAAGAUGACUCAGGGGUGAGGGGCACAUAGUGAGAUGGUGAUCUUGUAAGAAACUUUUUUAGGAUAUAUAUAGACCAAGGUCAAGGUUGAAAUAUAAGUACAUAAUGUUUUCUCUAUCAUAAAGAAUGCCAUGUAAAGAAAUAUUAACUAAAAAGAUAACUUCAAGGACCCUAAAGAUAUUGGCACUACAUCAAAGGGGUAUGAAAGCAUUAAGGUAUUAUCCAUUUCAAAAUCUAUUGAAAAUAAUUAAAUGAAUUAUUGAUUUUGGUCACACUUCUCACAUGUUUCCAAAUCAAUCUUGAUUUUCUUCUAUUAAAUGAUUGAUGGGGACUAAGUGUUGCUAGGAAACAAUAAGGCAUGUCACGUGAUUGGAGUAGGAGUUACAAAAAUCAAGAUAGCAGAUUGGGUUGAAAGCAUAUUGUAGGUGUGAGACAUAUACUUGAAUUGAAGAGUAAUCUAAUUUCACUGAGAAUGUUGGACAAAAGUGUAAAAGAGAAGAUGGAGACUUGAAGGUAAUUAAAGGAUCACUAGUAGUGAUGUAAGAUUUCAAAAGAAUAAUUUGUAUAUGCUACAGGUGGAUGUUUUGAAUUAUGAGGGUACUACAACUUCAAGGAAUAUAUAUUCUAGACAAAGUAAAGUUUUUGACACAUUUACUUAUAUAUUAGUGAAAGGAGUGGUCUAAAUUAAGUAAACAAAAUCUUCUUUGGGGAGAUAAUAUGAAUAAGUUGGAAUUUUCGGAAGAUUGCAUUUAUGGUGACAUUUGAAGAAUUAAAUUCAAUAUAGCAAAUCAGAGGACAAAGGAAACUCUCGAUUAUGUUCAUUUAAAUCUUUUGGGCCAACAAGGAUUGAUUCUUUGAGUGAUUAGAUAUACCUUACAUUGAUUGAUGAUUAUCAAAGAAGAGUAUAGGUGUAUAUAAAAUCUAAAUGCAACAACUGUAUAGAGGGCUCUAUAGAAAAGAAAGGAGAACCAUGGAUCCAUGCUUAUCAUAGUAUGGCUUAAAGUAGUUUCCAAGGCAUUGGUACAACAGGUUUGAUAUAUUCCAAUUGAAAUAUAGUUUUAAAAAAACGUGGAUGUGAUAGUUUUUUUGUACUAUAAGAACCUCCUAUCUAAUACUGCCACUUAUUUUCCAUUGUUUUUGUGUAUUAUAAGAAUGCCUUAUAAUGCCACUUAUUUGCUAAUCUAUGAUGACAUGUUCAUAGCAUCUAAUAGACUAAAGUCAUUUUUUUCAAAGUGAGUUAAAGACGAAGGAUCUUGGACUAGCCAAGAGGAUUCUAGGGAUUGAAAUCAUAAAGGUUCUUGAUAGGUUUGUGAAGUCAAGGGCAAAUCCAGUGGGAACAACAAUUGCGUUGUAUUUUAAGUUAUCCCAAGCUUAGUCACCUUGACCUAAAAUUGGGGAUAAGGAUUAUAUGGUAAAGGUACCCUAUUGUCACGGACUUAGUCGUUCACUAAGCUCAUGCGACACUUAGGCAAGUCAAGACGCUUGAUCUUGCUAAGUCAGCCUUGCUCCCAAUGCUUAGCUAGCUAGGCUAAGACGCUCACGACUCAAAAGCUUAAGAAGCUUAGUAGGCAACUCUUUAGAGAAUGGAAGCUCUUAUUAACUCAAGGAAGCCUUUACAAGUGCUUGGAAGCCCACUUGCUUGGUCAGGAAGUGAUUUGAGUGGUGCCUUGCCCAAAUGAGGGCCUCACCUAUUUAUAGGCAUCAAUGGAACUCUCUAGAACCUUGGAGGGUUCCUUACAAGUCAAGAAUAUUCUAGAACUCCUUACACUAAUCUAUGUACAACCCUAUGUACAAGAAUAUACAAGAAAUCUCUAGAAUUCUCUACAAAGCCCUGGACUCCUCUCAUGCCUUCCACCAUAGUGUAGAGAUGUGUGGACUUUUCUAGACAUCUCUAAAACCUUCCACACUCUUCCCACAAAUGUCUUAGUGUAGAUGGCUCCAGGAGUCUCCAGAAGCUUCCUGGGUUCUAUAUAAGCCCAUGGGGAGGGUCAUUUGAAACAUCCUGUGACACUAUGCUUGUGUAGUUGGAAGUAUCAUGUACUCUUUGAUGUGAUAAACCUAAUUUAUGUAAUGCUUUUAGUGUGAUCAGUAGGUAUGAAAAAUCUAGAAAAUGGAUUGUAAUGUUGUGAAAUAGAAACUAGGGCAUCUUAAAUGUAUUAAGGAUGUUGGAUUGAUGUAUUAAGGAGGGUAGAAUACAAUUCAAUAGGUUAAUGGCUAUGUGGAUUCUAAUUAUGCAAGAGACUUGGAUGGUAGGAGAUUAUUGACAAGUUAUAUUGUUUAUCUAGGGAGAUUCAUAGUUUGCUAGACAGCCUCAUUAUAGUGCAUAGUUUCUCUUUCAAUCAUAGAGGUGGAAUAUAUGGCAAUAGCUAAAUCUAUCAAGAAAGCAAUUAUGCGGACAUAUACAAGGGUUGGUUAGUAAGCUAAGCAUGAAGCAAGGGUUUGUAACAGUGUUUUAUGAUAGUCAAAGUGUAAUUUAUUAGUCCAAAAAUCAAAUAUAACAUGAGAGGAUAAAUCACAUUAAGGUAAUACUUCAUUUUAUCUUAGACAUAAACAUUGGGGGAGUAUUACACAUAAAGAAAAUCUUAACUCUUGGGAAUCCAAUAGAUAUAAUCACAAAGGCCACAAUGUUUAAUUAGUUCAAGUAUUGCUUGGACUUAGUUUAUGUAAAAGGUUGCUGACUUAGGAAAUAGGAAAAGGCUAGUGUUGCAAGUGAUUUGAAUUCUACAACCAAUAUGGAGGAUUGUUGAGGAGUGAGUUUGAAAUUUCUCACUUAAACUACAUGAACGAGUGAAAUCACAUUCAAAAGACACUUUGUUCAUUUGUGUACAUUAGCAUAGAGUAAGGUAAGAGCUCAAAGGUGUGUACAAAGUGACAUGUUCCAUUUUGAAAACUUUGGGUGACGUAAGGUAAUGCACACCAAGUGGACAAGUCUCUUUAUGUGGUCUUUUCAGUACUUUGGGCACAUACACUAGUUUUGCUACCAAUAUAGAUUAGGUUGUUUAUUGAGUUAAUGUUUAUUAUGAUUAGUUGUUCACUUCUAACAACUUUUAUUCAAGAUAAAUGAGUACUAUUUUACUUAUUGUAAAGGGAAUCUAGAUCGCCUUGAUAGAUAGAUCGUUAUGAGAAAGAUUCUAAACACGAGAAAUGCUUGUGUGAAUAUAACCAGGAAGUGCUCCUAUGCUUUCCUAAUAGGAAAGUAUGAGAGAGUAUUGAAAGAAAAUAUGAGGGUCAUAUAUCUCAUUGAUCAAUUAUGAAGCCUUUGUAGAUUCAUUUCAUAUGGAUGUAAGUGGUCUUCACUGAACCAGGUAAUAUCUGUGUUUUAAGUGUGUUGUAUUUUUUGUUAUGUUUUUGUGAUUCUUAGGUUUGUUUAAUUAACCUUGUUUGAGAAAAAUCUCCUUAACACCAUCCAAUAUAUCAAAGGAUUUCCUAACUAAAUUAUGAUUCCAAUUUAAAGUGCCUCAUGACAUGUAAUGAAAUAAUUGAAAAUCAUCUAAAUAUAUGAAAAUGGGGUUUCAGAAAUCACAAUGGGUCAUAAAUUCUCUAGCUUCAGAUAUAUUAUAUUAAAUUAAGAAGAAAGAAAUCCAAUUAAGAUAAGAUAAACAUUUCAAAUUCAAAGGCACAUAAAAAUUUAAAACAUGAAUCAUUCUCUAAAGAUAUAGCUUAGAGAAGUUGUUUUCUAAUGGAGAAAGUAACAAAAAAAAAAUUAUGUAUUAGUACCAUCUAUAAGAAAGUAACAAAAAAACAUUUAUGUAUUAGUACUAUGUAUCAUAGCUGGUCUUGUGUUUACUUUUAGCUAAUCUUAUUUCAAUCAGAACACAUGAGUUUGGACCCAAAAUUUAGGUGCCUAGAGUAUUGGCUAAAGGGGGAAAGAGGACAUAUUUUCAUGAAUAACCUUCCUAGUGAAGGUUAUAAAUCUAAUCGUAUCCUAGAUGGAUAAUUCAAAAAUUUUCCAUUAGAGUUGUUUUAACAUUUGAAAUUGUGUAAAGUAGUCAGUGAAAAGCUAAUAGGAACUACUGUAACAUGAAUGUUAAUAUCCUGUGCCGAAAAAAAAUAAAAGAUUUAUGCUAUAAUUGAUUCCCAUCUGCUAGAGUUUGUGUGCACUUUUAAAGAGCCAAAACACUGAUAUCAAAUUAAUGAAGGCAUUUAUAAGAAGACAAUGGUUGUGAACUUGGCAACAUCAGGAAGAUGGUAAAAGAGUUAAAUAAUUCUUAAGGUAAAGUUGUGGCUUCAUGAUAAAUAUUUUAUAGUUUGGAGGACACUUGGAAAGUCUUUUGUAAAUUGCAAGGAAUAUACAAGAAGUAUUCAAUGGAUUAAGCAAGAAGAACAUGUGGAAAGCACAACCAAUCCAUCUGCCUUAAUAUGUCUUCAAGUUGGAAAUUGAUAGUGGGGACUUUAGACAAAUGCAAAAUGACUAAAAAAUAAAUUGCUACCAUUGAUUCAAAUUCUAAUAAUAACUCAAAAAGAACUACCACUAAAGGUUAAAUGAAAGUCGCAUUAACAGACACGAAAUACUAAAUCAGAGCAUGUUGGGAACUGAUUCAUUCAUUUUGCCUUUUACUAUGGGCACAAACUAAAGUACUAAAUGAUCAUAAUCUAUGGAUGGCCUCAAAUUGUAUCAAAGGUUUCCUGAAUAACAACCAUGCUGAGACUACCUAGCACAACCAUGGUUUGAAAUGGUAUAAGCUAUAGCCAUCAAGAUCAUAGAGUCUUGAAAAUUAAUUUUUGUGGUCAUCUGCUUGGGUAACAAAAAGAGGGGUUUGAGGUAGGAGAAUCGAUCUUCAUGCCAAUGCCAUCAAAGUAUGGCAUUGGCAUCAGUUUUUGAGGUUUGUCCACAUUCAAUUGCAUGUUCUGCAAAUAAACAAGUGAAAAGUAUUUUUGUAUUUCACUCUCAAAGCCUCCUUGUAAACCCACAUUUGGAGAUAUUAUACUUCUAUUAUAAGAUGUUCCUUCCUGCAAUAAUGUCCUACCUAAUGACGAAAAUAUCGAUAAUCACAGAUAUAUCAGUAGUUCAAUUUUACGGAUAUAUUGGAUAUAUCGGCGGAUAUUUUGAUACAAAAUAUCGAUUGAUUUAAAAUUGAUCAAAACUUUUGAAAAUAUAAAAUAAAGCUGUUAGAAAUGAAAUUAGAAGUAUAAAAGACAUUUUAAAGUUGUUUUGUUGAAGAAAUUAAUAUAUAUAAGUGUACAUUGAUUAUUAAAUCACAUCAAAUAUUAUUCUAUAAUAAUAUUGUGAUAUUUGAUUAUAAUAUGUUUAAUUUUAAAAUAUAUUUAAUAUUAAAAUUAUGAAUAUUUAAUUUAAUUGUAUUAAAUGAUAUAAAACAAAUGAUGAUAAAUGUAUAAUUUUUUAAUAUUUAAUUAAUAUAUUAAUGAUAUGUAUUAAAUGAUACAAAAUAAAUGAUGAUAAAUGUAUAAUUUUUUAAUAUUUAAUUAAUAUAUUAAUGAUAUUAACAACUUUUUGUUACUCAAUUAAAUGAAAAAAAUUAUUUAAUCAUAAAAUAAUUAUAAUUAAUUUGUUAUUUAAAGUAUUGUUUUAAGAUUUUGUGUAUAUGAAAACUUUUAAUAUAUGUAUAUAUGGUGUAGGAAUAUUAACAAGGAUGCUCCCCCAACCAAAACUCCCUGGGCAGCAUGUAAAUAGCCCAUUUUUGAGCUUUGACUUGGUCAACGCUGAGAUUUGCCUCGGUUAAUGCCGACGUUGACCACCGUUAUUUCUGUGGAAAAUUUUGUUUCCACAUGUACUGACACACAGAUGUUUUGGCGAUAUAUCAUCGAAAUAUCUCGAUAUUUUCCUCCAUGGUCCUACCAAGGUUGGUGGGAUCAAAUUAAUCCUUUUUCUGUGGUUUUUGAGUAACACAAAAUCCCAAGCCAACAACAUUGGACAAACUUCCUAGGCUAACACCAAAUCCCAAGAACAUGCUGAAAACAGGGGAUAUUGCAUACUUUUCCAAUGAAACUGGGGAUAGCUGUAGUAUCCUAACAAAUUAGUUGAUCAAAACAGGGGAUAAUUGUGGUAUCCUAACAAAUCAGUUGAUCAAAACGGUUUUCCUCUCAUUGCAGGAAAGAAGAAGAUUACAUUGCAUACGUUUCCAACAGAACUGGCUAUUCCUCUAAAAUUUAAUUUCUCAGUAUCUACGUAUUCUUUGGGAAAAGACGUACUUGGUUGUAGAUUUUGGUGAUUUAAUAAUAAUUUUUUUUUUCACACAAAACAUUUGAUUUUCAGUGCAGUCCAGAUCAAAGCUCUUAAAAUGCAAAGAUGAAAUAGAGAUUGUUUAAAAUUAUCUCAGAUCAAUGACAUAAGAACAUAAUUCACUGUCAAAACUCCAAGAAAAAACCCAAGAAAUUAAUAUUACCUGUCUCAAACCUCAAGAAUAGAAAGAAAGAUAUGACAAGAAUCGAUGUAUAAGAGCAGCAAUGCGAUCAGUUGAUAAGCCUUACUACCAACUGUCAUAUAAUGAAGAGGCAAACCUCCAUUAUCUCAGUUCUGAAACUUUCAAAUGCGAAUCAGAAUCUAAAUGGGUCAUGGUUAGAAUCAAAAUGGCCUGUGAUUGAGGUGUAAAGUACCGUAACUUAUUAACCCAACAAUGACUCUAAAUUAGAAAUUAAGAAGGUGUUAUGCAGUUUAAUAUAAUUUAAUGACUUAAGUUAUUAAGUAGUUUAAACAUGUUUGAUAAAAUAAUUUAAUAUCACAAUUUUAAAUAAAAAUUAACUUUAAAUAUUAUGUUAAAAUUGUUAACUUAUUUUUAAUCUCAAAUUUCUUUUGCCUUAUUUAUUCAUGUUUAGCGAACGUAUAUUUUAUAACUAUGAUCCUACAUUCACAACUCAUCUUUUAUAAUAAAUAUCUUUGUAGUUAAUUUAUGUCCCUAUAAUACUUUGAAAAAUAUGAAUGUUUAACAAAUAAAUUUAUUACUUAGAAUUAGUAUAUUUUUUUUAUGAAUAUUAAUUAUAAAAAUAUGGAUAUUAAUAUCUUAUAAAAGCAUAAAUAUUGAUUUAUUUUAUUUAAAAUAAAUAUAUAUAAUUGAACAAGUAAUAAACAGGCCUUAUAUUCUUCCAACAUUAAUCAGUUUGGUCUCACUCCUCCAUUCUAAGGAUUAAAUGAAGCUAGAAUAGGAAAAACAACAUUAUCUAUUCAAUUCUUAGAUACCGCAGCAGCAGCAGCUGUAUUACCAAGAAGAUAAGCAACAUUAUUUAUGAGGCAUUAUAUGUCUGAUUUACUUCUUCAAACAUAUAUAGUGAGUAAAAAGCUUCCCUAAAGAAAUGUAGGGGAAUCAAUCAUGUCAUUAAUUUUGUAAAAAAUAAAAAUAAAAAUAAAAAUUACGCCUUAUGUUCUCAAGGGUAUCAAAGAAAUUAACUAGAGAAUCACUUGAUAUGAUCUGCAUUUAUCUACAGAGAAAAUAUAACAAAUUAAAUAAAGAAAAUUAAGUUCUUUUAGCCUCUAUUUAAUCUGUCCACACAUAAAUUUUCAAAAUUUGUAACGUCCAGUCUUAUGAGAUUUUCUAAUCGAUCCCUCAAAGAAAUCACGUGACAGUUGUUACAAAUCAUUCAAAUUGCAACAACUCAUCUGCUAUUUCGCUCUCCAUGGAAUUUAUAUUAAGUAAUCAACUCAUCAAGGUGACUACAUGAAUUAAUUUAAAAAAUCUGUCUGGAGAAGGCUGGCAGCUUAUUCCAUAACUCUCAUCUCUCAUUCUUCCUUUAUUGCAAUUUUCAUUUUUCAUAUGCCUCAUACUCUGCAACUGAGAACCUAAAAAUAAAUAAGAAAGAAUAACAUAGAGAAAAGUGGUUAUUUAAAUCACUUUAGAAAAGACCAUAAAAGUAGAAGCCCUAGACCUAAAGUAGGUCGCGCUUUAAUCGAUGUAACUGAUGAAGUAGUUGUACUGAACACCACAUAUCAAGCUUUCACCGUUGUGACAUGCUUGAUGAGCGUGGCAACAACAUCUGAUGAAACCCUAGAAGCAGACUCUUUCAAGCUUUGAAUCUUCAUUGCAGUUUCCUCAUCAAGCCGUUUUACAUUUGACCCACUGCUUCCACUCGUCUAUAUAAAUCAAAAGUGAAGUUAGACCUUGUCAUUCUAAAACCUUUGGCAAUGACAAUAUUUGUGCUGAUACCUCGGAAAUUUUCUUCUGGUGGGCAGCUUCCAUAUUGGAGUGGUAGAGUUUCACUUCCCUCUCAGCUUCUUCUUUAGCUUGUUUCAACCUCGUCAACUUUACUGAAACACAUUGUUCAAUCAUAGCAUCAUUUCGGAUUACGAGUACUGUAAUUUUGGAAAGAGAUAUGUAAGGAUUGGGGUUUUACAGUUUUUAGCAUUGGAAAUAAUCUGUCGGGCCUCCUGCUCUGCAGUCAGCAGCAUCUGGAUGCCUCCUUGUCCUUUCAUGGAAUCCAUGGAAAAUAUGCUACCUAAAAUACAAGACUAAGCACUUUUCAAUCCCAUAUAUAGAGAAAUAUAUCACUUAAUUACUUCUGUAUGAUUCAGGAUAUAUUUUUGAGAAAUUUUAAUUAGAAAGAAAAAGAAAACAGAAGUAGCAUCAUUUCAUAAAAUUCUGCCGAAGAAGAUCAUUCAAUGUCUCAAUUGCAGAAUGGUCCUGCAAUUUGACGUAAAUGGAUCAUUCUAUUCCAAUGCUUUCCAAAUGAUUCUAAAAUACUUAUCUCAAAUGCGUUCCCCAACCUGGUGGAUCUGAGAGAUGAAAAAACAAAAUGUUGUGACUCAAAUCGAUGUAUUUAAGUGGGUCUUCCAAAUUCCAUAUGCCAAAUAAAAGACCCAAUUCUUCAAAUUGGAUUGUGAAUAAUAAUAAAAUUUAAAGGGAGGAAAUUGAAUUAAAAAAAACAAAAAAACAAAAAAAAACAAAAAACCAAGGAAAUGAACCCCAUACCUGUGUUUAAUUUCUUCAAAGGGAGAAGGUUGCAGUUAGUUUUUCAAGGCAAAAAUACUGAGGUAGAGGAGGAUAUCAUUUGGCUCUGGUAGUAUUGAGAUAAAAAUGGAUCAUUUGCCACCUGUUCACCGGCUUCCUUGGUGGCUAGCACUAAUUGGAUUAAAAAAUUGUUACAUUGAAUUAUUUAUUUUACUUCAUUUUUUGGGACUAGCCACCUCCUAUAUUCCUUUUAUUACAAUUUAUUUAUUUAUUUAUUUAGGUGACACUAGUGAUAGGAUGUAAAUUAAUAAGUAUUAAACAUAUCAAUUGCUAUGUCCCAUCACUACUUAUCAUAUAAGCAAGUGUGGCCAUCAUAGUUAUAACAAAACAUUUGGACUAUUAUUAUGAUUGUGAUCACCCUUAAGGAGGACACCUAAAUCAUAUUAUAUCUUAUCCUUUGCAUCUUUUUGCAUCCUUAUUAAUUUAUAGCAUGUUUUAGAAGACAAUUUAUAAGACCUAAGUUAGAGUUGAAGAGAAACUCUUGAAAGUAGAUUAAGAACAUCUUCGUAUCUUUAAAAACGACUUCAAAUCAUCUUUCAAUUAUCUCGAAAGUUUCUUCAAAUUAUCUUCAAUUUCUUCAAAGUUCAUUUGAAAUAUAAAAAUCUUUAAAAUUUUCUAGCUUUCAAGCUUCAUCUUCAUCAAUCAAUGUUGUAUAAAUCAAGGUUUAAGUCAUAUUGAGGCCCAAGUUGCAAUCAAACUUAGGUCAAAUCAAAGCUCGAUUCAAACCAAAACUUAAGUCAAUUCAAGAUUCAAAACAAAUGUCCAAGCUAAGUGCCCGUAAAAUCACAUCAUCCAAAAUCUUUAUUUGAGAUCAAACUUCUUCAAGCUCUCAUAAAAAAAAAGGGUAAUAAAAUGGAGAUUGCACUUAUAACAUCCUCCAAAUAAAUGAACUCUUAAUUUAACUUCAUAACUUUUGAAGAGAAAUUUUAUUUGUUACAUGAGGAAAAUUCAUGGACUAUUUUCUUAGACUAGAGAUUGUGCUCGCUUCACAUUCCAUAUUCUCAUUCCCAUAAAAGAAGAUAAUUAAAUGUAUGCGUUUAAGGAGGUAUUUGUCUUUAUUUAUUUUUUGUGCACAUACCUACCAAAUUAGAGAGAUAUCAACCCACCAAAAAAAUAUCAGCAUAGUAGGAGCUUGAAAUUUUAAAUCUGACAGUGGAUUGGACAUGUGGGCGCAUCUCUUACGUGGAUCUAACCUCCAAAGACGUGUUCUACACUCAGUUCUUUCCAUAACCACACCCAUUUGCCUCCCAAAUCACUAACCCUUAAUUUCCCAAAUGUGUUAUCCCUCCGUAGCCAGCCUCUGCCGCCAUUGAUUUGAUCUCUUGAGUCGCAAUUCACUUUCUCCCUUUCUCGAAAAACUCCUCGUUUCUCCCUCUACACCCUUCAUCUUUAGGAGGAUUCACUGCUUCGAUGACAUUCAAAGAACAGCCAGACCUGGUAUUCUCAUAAUCUUUUCCUUUUUUUUUUUUUUCCAAAUAUAUUUUUCUUUCGGCUUUAGAGGUUUCGAUAUCAUGAUUUUGUUGAUGUUGCCUUUUUUUAUCCAUUAUGUAAUGGAAUUUUCUAUUUUUCAUGCUUCAAUUCAUUUCCAUUUUUGCAUGAUUGCUUUCUUUGAUAUAUUUCCUCAUCUAGAUUUCAUUGAUCUUGGUAGCUUGAAGUUCAUAACCUUUCACAAGAUUUGAGUUCUUUUAUUUUUGGUAAAUUUGGUUUUAACGGGAUUUCAUUUCUUUCUUCUUUGUUUUUUUAGUGGAUUUGUUUUUAAUGUGCUUAAUUUUCUUUGAUUUUCUUCCACAUGCAAUUUGCAAAUGUCAUUGCUUUAGAACAUAGGGCUUGAUAUAUCUCUAAAAUUGCUUUUCAUUUUUUCUUAUAAUUUCUUUUUGUGUGAUGUACCUGUGGUGAAUAAAAAAGGGAAUGGCCUAGGUCCAUGCAUCUUGGCAUAACCUAGAUCAUAUUUGAGGUGGGACAAUGUAGCAGCAAGAUUCUAGUUUUUUUAAUAGAUGGGGAUGAAGUCCAGACCCUAAGUCGCCUUGGGUUUGGUCUGGUGGUGGGAAAGUGUUAUCCUACAAGGGCAGAGCCGAAAAAAGGGAAAACCCAAGACUUGCCCCCAUAUUCCUUAGUGAAGCCUAGCCUCUUGGGAGGCAUUCUUUAAUGUGAUGACUCAGUUUAAGAAAUAAGGGUAAGAGAUUUAAACAUAGAUGUACUUGAUCUUCCCAAAAUAUUCCUUGGAAAGUGUUUACUAUUUCUUCUUUUUAGUUUUUAAGGAAGUUCAGACUAAUAGAAAGCAGCCUUAAAAUGAACUCUUAAUUUGGAAAUAAGACUUUUUUAAAUGGUAUUCUAAAACUUACAUAUUGAUUAUGAAGAAAUGCAUAUCAAUCAAGCAAGAAGUUUCAUCUUUGAUUAAUUGAGUAUUUGGGUUUUGAAGAUAUAACAACAAAUUCACCAGUCAUGACUAAGCUUUGAUUAAUCAAAAGCUCAAAUUGACUAUUUUUACCUUUAUUUCCUAAAUCCAAUUUUUUUCCCUUAAAAUAGAGUUUGAAAGUUCUCAAUAUGUUUUGGGCCUUAUAAAUUUUAGUAGAUUUUCCAAAGAAAAAUCCUAAGGUUUCCAAGUAACAUGCCUAUCUAAUGUGCUUGGGACAAUUAUUUGCUAUAUCUUCCAUUUGGAUGUAUACGACUAAGUCCUUUAACCUUUAAGUUGGUCAGGGAGAUGGAUGUGUCAUUUCUCAACCUUUUUUAAACAUUGUUUAAUACAAGAUUUGAUGUUAUGAUUUUGAUAUAUAUUCAAAAGUCCCUACAAUAUGACAAUGAAAUUGAAAUUAUGGUUGUUGAUAAAAUUUUCAUUUCCAAAUUUGACUCUUCUUUGUGUUAGUGUUAGUGUUUUAGGUGAUAAUUCUCUCAUGAAUAGCAUCUUGUCUGGAAACGCUACGGAUAAGAACAUGUCACCUUCAUCUAGAGGUAUGGGUUCUUUUCCUUUCAAAUUCUACUUCUAGAAAUGAUGAGACAUUUAUCAUUUUUUAUUUCAUGAACUUGCUAAGAUCCUCUAAAAAUGUGUGGAUUGCGACUUGAAUUUCUAACUCUAAUAUCUAGUCGACAUCUAUCUUUGGGGUUGUAAUGCACUAGAGGAAAUAUGUACUUUGCUAGAAGAUGAUGUUAGUGUUUCUGGGCUAGAUGACUUAUUUGAAUUGUUACUUGGAAGAAGGACCUUACCAAGUUGAGUCUAUUGUCAUUUCUUCUUCAAUGCAUAAAAAAAUUUUGUAUUUCAUAAUUCAUUACUCUGCAUUUGAUAAGGUGGUAUAUUUUCCCUUUUAGUGUCAGGAACAAGUGGUUGAAUAAGUCAAUUUACUUCAUGCUAUAGAAGUAUGAUGUAAAAGGAGUAUAAUGAUACUGGUAUAACAAGAUAAAAGACAUAAUCAUUUGUUCGUCAAGAAGAGGUAUGACAACAAAGCAAUUAUGUCAAACAUCCUAAGAAAUUAAGUAAUUCCUUCAAUAUGGUGAUGCUACAAAUCAUUGUUAUCCUAAAUAAGAUAAAACAUAUAUAUUUUUUUUAUUGUUUAGGUUUGUUUUUUUGGAAAGUACAAUAGCAUGAGCGGAGUCGGAAGAAGGUAUGUAUUUUACAUUUAAUUUUAUUAGCAAUACUAAAAUUAUAGAAAGGCCAAUUUUUUUUUUUUACUAAGUUUUUAUGUCUUAUAUUUACUAGCUUGUAAGAGUAGGACAUUUUUACUUGGACUAAUCCAACUAACCCAUUGAUCUACUUACAAUUAUUAUUAUUAUUAUUAUUAUUAUUAUUAUUAUUUUGGGGGUGGGGAGGGGGUUGGGGAACAAUUUCUUUAUAGCAUCAUUAACUUGACCAUGUAUUUCAUUUGCAUUAGCUAGGUUCUAAUAUUUCCCAAAGAUAGUCUAAAUAUCCCACACAACAUACCAAAUGGCAAGUGAGUGUUAACUUGUUAAUUAACAUAGCAUACUAAUAUAACUUGUUGAUUAACCGUAAAUGGAAUUGAGUUACCAAAAGGAUUUAUUUUUAACAAGGUUCAAGUGUGGCAACCCUAACCUUGAGGAUGGGCUACAAAGAUAAUGGGAUCGCAUGAGAUUGAGACCAAUUGUGUAGCCACUAGCUCAACAUCAAAUGUUUAAUAAAAUAUGAAAAAUAAUGGAAAGAAUGUUUAGAAAACAACAAAAAAGUUCCAAACUAAUGAAAACAAAAAGACUAAGAGAUUAAGCCUUAUGGCUCUAAUACAACCCAAGUUUUAAAUUAUGUCUAGUAGAAGAAAAGACAAAUGGACUCCAUGUCUAGAGGCAAAGACACAAUAGUUUUAGGGGCUUGUUAUGGAACUGCUGAUCCUCAAAUUGAAGCUUCCUAAAUGCUAGGUUUUGCUUGAGAAAAGAAAAAUUACAACGAUAGAGGAAACAUGAGUACAUGUAUGAUUGGAACCAUUAGGAUAGUCAUGGCAUGCUCAUAUUUCAUAAAUCAAAAUUAUGAAUUAAUAGCAUCAUGUUGAUCUCUAAACAUCAUUUCUAACUCUGCAUCAUGACAAAAAUUAAAUUAGUUGACUAUAUCUCAUGUUUCCCCAAGUCAUUAGUUAUAUAGAACGUAGAGAAGAGAUCACUUAUAUGGUAAAUAAUUAUAAAAGCAUUCACAUGAUAAGAGUAUUCACAUAAAACUCAUAGUCGGGGUUUCCACACAACUCACAGUCAUUUGAAUACUCCCCUAAAUAUAGUUCAAGCACAAAAUCAAAAUAAGGUAGAAGGAAGGAAUUGACUAAACUAUAGUAUGGAAAACUGGACCCUAAAUAGAAGCCUUAUGUCCUUAGGAUUGUUAAAAUUUCCAAUAAAUUCAAACAAAUUGGUUUGAUUUUAAAAAAACCAUUAAGAUCAGUUCGAUUUGGGAAUUUUAAAAAUUGACUUAAUUGAUUUGAUUUUUUGUUUCAUUAUCUCCAAAUUGAUAAAAGCUAUACCAAUUGGAUUUAAAAUCUAAAUUAAUUUGAAUCCAACAAAUCAUUUAACUAAACCAAACCAACAUUAAACAAUGUUGGUUUGACUCAAUUUUUCAUCACUAAAAGGUUGGUUUUGUUUUAUUCAAAUAAAAACAACCAUGUCGGUUUUGAUAAAUUCUUUUCCAAAACUUAAUCAAAUCACACCUUUUUAUACCCCUAGUUUCAACUCUAAAAGUUUUUUAAACAAUGUACAUUCUUCAAGAUCUUAGUGCACUAGGGGAUGUUAAUUAGUUCUCCUCAAUUAUUCAAUACAAGAGAAUUAAGGUUUUCUUGAAGGGCUUUUGCAAUUCCAUGAGUGCAUAAAAAAGCACUUAGGAUGCUAGGGUUUAUGAAAAAGAGAGGAGGUAGAGAGAUUUCCAAAAUCUUCAAAUUGUCUUCCACUAUUCUCUUAUAUAGAGAAUAGAAGAGAAACUCAUCAGCUCAUGUCUUACAUUAGACAGACUUACCCUCAAAUUUGAUAGUUUUGACUUGUUUUCUAAGAGAAAGUAACUUGUCAAAGUUUAAUAGCUUUAUUUCUAUAUUCAUAUAGUAGUCCACAACCAAUUUAGUCUAUGGAUAAAUACAAUAGAUUCAAUUUUUUUGUUACCGCUGAAAUGUCUUAUCUCAUACCUAAACUCUUUGUAGGACUCAUAAGAAUGGAUUUAUGAUGAGAAAAAAAAUACCAAACAAGCACAAUAGUUUUGUUUGAUCCACAAUGCAUUAGGGGUGUAUUCGUCUUAGAAAUUAGAUGGUGGUGUGAGUUCAUCACAAUGACAAAAAUCUACCUGCACUAGAUUUGUGAUGAGAAAAAACACAAAUCAAGCCUAAUAGUAUAGUUUAAUCCACAAUACAUGAGAGGUAUUUGUCUUAGAUUCACAAUGAGGCUAUAGGAAAUUUUCGAUAAAAAUCCACCCGUGCUAGAUUUGGAUGUCCAUUGCAUUCUUACCCAAUUCUCUUUCCUCAUUUGACUCCACUUUUGAUUGAUUUACAUGCUGCUUCAUUGCUAAAAUAAAACCAAAAUCCUUUUAUAACUUGAGCACUAGACCAUAUGAAGCCACUUAUGGGGAUCCUUGUUUUUUCUUUUUAUAAGUAAAUUUUUAUCCUUAUUGGGACUUGAACCUAGAAUCUCCCAAACUUGAGCUAGGCCUUAAGGGCUCUACUACUAGGGAUCUAAGUAUCAUCCUACAUUUGGUUUCUUAUCAAACACCAACUUUCAAAACAGACCAUAGGAUAUAGUUGAUGCAAAUAAUGGAAGCAUAGCCUAUUAUGAUGCUAUGGUUGUGCUAGCAAUAGCAUACUAAGAUCCAACUUGUUAAAUACUUACAUUUAUGCAUUUCUCAAAUUUAUGGCCCAUCCACAUAUUAUCACCAACAAUGUUGAUGAGGCUUUUGAUAUUUAUUUAAUAUAUUAGGCACUAAAAAUUUUAAGGUCACCAUAAAUUUUUUAGGUAGCUAUUAUAUUUAGAUUUGUUUAUUCACUUAAACUAACAUAUUCUUGACUCCUAAUAUACUAAGUAUAGAUUUUGUUGCUUUUGUUCAUUCUUAGGACAAAUAAUUUAAUCUUUUUGCCAACUAUAACUUCAUUUGAAGACUUGCUUUUCAUUUUUCCUUAGUUGGCUGCAUUUUUCCCAAAAAAUAGUUGUUUCCAUAGAUCUAAUUAUGUGGGAAAAAAAUUUGACUAAGAAAUACAUAGUAUACAUAUAUGAAAAUUUUUAUUUAUUUAUUUUUAUUUUUAUGAGACACUUAUUUUAGUUACACAACAUUACGAAAUAUAUGCAAAUGUGGAGUCAAACUAAUAUGUUCUAAGAAGAAAUUUUUGAACAUCAAUGUCAUCAAUAUUAUCGAUCUCAUAAGUAUCAUACCAAAUCCUAUCAAUUAAAUCACUUUCUCAAGAAAUAUGAGAUGUCUAAGUCAUAUAAGUAAAGAUACCUAUUCAUGGAUAAAAAAAGGAAAAAAUGUAAUUGAUGAUUAGAUUGAUGAUAAAAUAGAACCUUGGGUCAUAAAUAGUAAGAAAAAAUAGAUGGCAACCAGCGAGUAUUCAAGAGGUCCUACAUAUUUGCAUAUAAGAAUAUAUUUAGGGUAAAUAUUUAAUAAUAUUAGUGAUUAUUACCAUAGCGUUAAAUUCCAUUAACAUUCUAAUGAAUAUAUUUAUGGUAAAAUUUGUAGAUAUAAGUCUAGUCAUGAUAGUUGUUUAAUGUCCAACAAUCCCAAAUUUACAAAACUAUAUUGCACAAGUCUUUUGUCCCAACCAAAACAAUUUAAAAUGAGAAGUUAUAUAGUACAUCUUUUCAAUUAUUGAUCCAUGGAGACUCAUGUGAACAAGUCAAUAGAAUUGAAGUUAAACUAUUUGAUUUACAUAUUUAGGCUAACUUAUUACAAAUUAGAAGUAAUAUGCUUUUUGAGAUAAAAUUCUAAAGAAAAAUGGAGUAAGAAGUGUAAAGUAAAUGACAAGAUGGUGAAAUUGUUCAUAAAAGGCCACACAUCUAAGAUCAAAUUUCUACUAAGAAUAGAAUCUUGGCAUUCUUCAAGAUGAUAUAUAUAUCUCUUUCAAAUUUAGGUCUUUGCAACUUCUAAUUCCAAAUUCAUCUCAAGACGUAAUAUAAGAUUUUGCACAUCCUUAAUCAAAGUCUAUGAUUAAUAAAUCAAAUAAAAAAAAAUGAGCAUUCAGUGAGCCAAUAUAACCAUCAAAGAUAUCAGGUCUUGAUAGAUCCAAAGAGAAUUUUGUCGCACUACUAAUUGAUAUCCAAGAAUCUGGAGAAUAGAGAUAGAAUUCAUAACAAGAGAUAUACUCAUCAUUGAAAUUCUCCCUUAAAUGCAUUCAUUCUCUAGAUAUAUAAAGAUAUAGCCACUAAUCAUAAGAAAUUCAACCUUGGUUCCUAUGUUCUAUAGCCAAAAAAAUGCAGGAAAAUGGAGUGGAUGGAAAAGAAAAAUACAAAAAGCUCUAAACUAAAUUCAAAAUAUUAAUUACAAAAAUGUUUAGAAGAUUCUCAAUAAAGUUAUAAGCUAUGUGGCAACAUCUCAUCACGCCUUAUCAUUAAAACAAGUGUAAAAGUAACUAUUACAAGACUUUUGCCUCACCUAAAGUUCACCUUGAAUAAAAAAAGGAUCAUUUGUAAUGGAAAUCUAUUUGACAUGAACCACAAAUCAAAAUUUCAAUAUAAUGUUACAUUGGAAAUCAAAAUUUCAAUAUAUUAACCCUCUCAUUAAUUUGAUCAUUGAAAUUUCAAUGUGAGCUCCUACUUCAUUCUCCACCACAUCAAAAUUUUGAUGUAUGCAAAUGGUCGCAUCAAUAGAUACUGUUUGUCUAGAUUUUCAUAUCCACAUUUUGAUUCUAUGCUUGUAACACAUCAAAAUUCAAUGUGGGAUUUUGUCUUCAUAACCACAUGGAAAUUUUGAUUUACUAAUUCCUCGUAGCUUUUCUAAUAUCAAACUAAGAUGUCCUCUUGCACUUAAACUACACUUCUAAUCUUCAAAAAUUGCAAGACUAUGCCAUGAUCCUUUCAUACUAUAAUUUUUCCUUCAUUAAUACUGAACUACACUCUUAGUAAUCAUGCUAAGUCAUAUUUCCUUCAACACUUUCUUAGCUAUCUUUCUCCAUUGACUCUUAAAUAUUCUUUUUUCUCUUUACUUAUGCAUUUUCUUUAAAAUAAAGAAUUAGUCCAUUAAAUUGUGCCUUAGCACAAAUUGAAGCUAAAAACAUUGAUUUGUCCACUAAAUGGGUCUUAGCACAAAUUAGUGAUGACAAUAGGGUAAGUUUUUUUUAGUACAGACCUCACCCUACCCUGCCUUUAAUGGGAUGGGUUUGGAAUUAAGAUAAAAGAGUUAGGGGUGAGUUUGAGAUUUUUCUUUAAACUAGGGAUGGGUUUAGGGCAGGUUUGACUAUUGCCUUGUUUUGAUUAUAUAUAACUAAUUUUAAAAAUAAUUUAAUUAUUUUUUUAUUUUCCUAUUUUAAUACAUAUAAAAUAAAAAAAUUACUUAUUAAUAAAAUAAGUUACAAAAAUGAUAAUAUUUACUUAUUUAUAAAUUAUAUUAAUUUUAAUGUAAUUUUUUAAAAAAAUUUAAAAAUCAAAUGGGGUAGGGCAAGUAUAGGAAAUUCUCAUAUCUACCUCAUCCUAUCUUGUUUAUUUUUUUUUAGGGUGGCGAUAGGAAUUACUUUGUGUAAAUGGAAUGGGUUUAGGAUGUGGGAGGCGACUCGUUUGAACCCAUGUUGUUGCUAUCCCUAGCUCAAAUUCAAGGUAAAAUCAUUGAUUUGUAUUUAUAUACUCAAAACCAUGUCUUUAAUCAACUUUUAAUACAAACAUUGAGUACAAAUCUGUUAGGUAUAAUUUUAAUUUUUAAGUUCCUAUGUUAAUUUGAUAAUAUAUAUUAUACCCAAAUCUUAGGUUCCUAAAAAUCUCUAAUCAAAAUAACAAACAUAACUUAUAGUUAUGUAACAUUCCUUAGUUUGUUGUAAGUUAAAUAUGAUCUCAACUUUAAAUUUUCCCUAAAUAACAACUGAUUUUGUAUUAUUCAGAAACUAUAUAAGUAUCUACAUGUUUUUUUUUUUUCAACUUUGUAGUGGAUAAGAAAGGAAAGCAUUAGACGAUUGAUAAGAUGCGGAAGCAUCUUUGGCCUUGAGAAGAAUGGAAGCUGAAGCCAUAUUUCCAAUGGAUCAAUAGGAAAGAUGGUGUGAAGAACGCUCAUCCCAACAGAUAAGGAGGGUUCAAAUCAACAACUAGUGAUAAAUGGGCCUUGUAGUUGAAUUUAACUUAUUCAAUGGUGAGGAUAUGAUCAUAAAAAUUGAAAAUGGCUCGUAUGGCAAGAAGAUGGUAAGAGUAAAGCUUUCAAAUUUUAUAGUAGACAUUAAUGACUAAAUGGUUUUAAUAGCACACAACUUUUGUGAAAUGUUACUAUAGAUGAUGAAAAUGCAUUUCAUUUUUUCCAUUUCUUAGUUCAAUAUUAAUUGUUUUUAGAAAAACUAAUAAAUGCUAUGAGAAAGUGAUGAGAAUGGCUUUCAAGCAUAUGCUAGUUUUUGUUUUGAGGUCAAAUACCAAAAGGUACAUUUUAAUAUUCAUUUUUCUCUUCAAAAUUGUAUGAAAUUUUUUUCUAUGUUUCUUUCUUCAUUUUUAGCUAAGAAACACAUAAAAGAUAAAUGUUAUUAUCUUUCUUAAUUACUAUGAAUGAGAAUAAUCUAAAAAACAGAAACAUAAAAAAAGUAACGAAAGGAGAGACGAUUGGAAAACACUAGAAGAAAAAAUAUAGAUUAGUAGAAUUUCUAGUAACAAACUCAACCCUAUCUUUGAUAGCAGUCAAUUCCUCUUUGUGAUUGGAAGAACUACAUGUCCAAUGCAACCUUUGCCCCUACAAAACGACUCAUAUCAAACUUAAGGCUGCUAGGAAGUUUUAUUCGCAUCACAUAGAUUCCAAAUUGGCAUUGUUGGCAUCUCAAACCUAGCACAGUGAAAGUCAUAACAAUUCAAAAAUAGGAUCUUUAAGUUUCAUAUACCAUACCAUUGAAUUUGGAUGUUCCUGCGCACUAUUUCUCUCCAAUUUCGUGAAGCUCUUGAAGACCUCUUGUAUGUCUUCUACCCAAUGACUCCUAUUUGGAUAUUAACACUUAGAUUGAGGAAGAUGGAGACUACAAUUCUUUUAGGUGUGAGAUUAAGAGUUAGCCUAACCCUAAACUCUAAAAGCUUUUGUAUAGGCUAGAAAUGGACAAGUGGCUAGGGCCCAAAAUAUGGGCUAAGGUCACUUAAUCUAGCUUAUUGGUCCUAUUUAAUUAAUUAGCCAUAAGAUGGGUUUCAAUUAAUCAAAUAGCCCAAUAAAACCCAAGAAUUAAUUAUUGAUAUGUUAUGGUGUAACUUCGUGAAACUUAAAGUAGCUUAACCCAUAGAAUAUAAUUAAUUUAUUUAAAAUAUAAUUUACUCAAUAAAAAGUACCACAAAUAAUAUGAGCUUGAGCCUAUGGCAUCUUGUCUACAAAAUUCAACUCUAGCCCACUACCUACUUAGAUAUGCUUAGGUAGGCCUAAGUUAAGAAAGGUCCAAGUGGCCUAUAUAUUCACCCAAGCCCGUGUCAUCAUGCCAUUCUAAGCCUUUUCAAGGAUUCCUUAACAAGGUUGAGUGGGGGCCAUACCAAUUAGCUUAGAUAUGCCUAAUUAAGUUAGGCUAUGCUCAUGUGAACUAACUUAAGCUUGCUUAUCUCAGUCUAGGCCUGAGCUGCUAGGGCGAGGAUGAUCCAGGGCAAUCAUUAAGGCUAAAUUGCCCAAAUUGGCAUAUUUAUGUUGUUAUUUUGGUCUAGUCACUCCAAUUAAGUGCCACCGAGGCCCUUUUCCCUUUAAAGGAUCACAAUAUUUCCAAAUUUCCUUUUAGAUAAGGCUUACCGACUAUAAAAUCCUAAGAGUGAUAAGGAUAACAUGGGAUAAGGGUUAUCAUAAUCUUAUCAUAAUUCCAACCCUAGGCAUCAUCCCAAUCUUCAAAUGAACUUAUCCAUUAUAAAUUGAGUGCUCCAUUCGAAUUACAAGGUAAACAAAAAUUUUCUCUUCUUCAUGUUUUACUUUUCCUCCAACUUGCUGACUUAAGUAGCAAAUCCAUAUCAAGCACCUUCUAUGUGAGCUUUUUGAAACUCUUGGCGGUAUCACUUUUCUUACAAAUCAUCAAUCUCCCGCUCAAUUUUAUAAAGUGAGAUCUUUUUCUUUUUUCUUUUUUUUCUUUUUUGCAUCUUCAAAGUUGACUCAUAAACUUCAUGAGUAGAAGGAGAAAAUUCGAUUUCUUAAUCAUGCCACCAAGUUGAGUUAAUAAAAGGAAAGUAUUUUGAAACCUAAGUAUAUUCAUUCAUAUACUUAGCAAUUAUAAUGAUUAAUGGUUAGUAAAAUUUUCAACUAGAUUUAGGAUUUUUGGAUUAAUUAAUCAGCAUAUUUCUUGAAUUAUUUCAGAUUAUUUAGCUUAGAUGAAGAGUGUUGUAUAUUAAUUUGUCCUUAAAUUAUUAACUUGAUUUUAUGAGAUCUACUUCCUAGAUUUGCUAUUCUGUUAGGAGAUUUAAUUAUUUGGGGUGAAUAGUAUGUAAAUGUUGAUUCUUUGUUAGCCUCAUGAAUGAUAUAUUUUGAUAGAAUUAUUAAACACAUUUUAAAGGUUAAAAAAAAUGGUAUUUUGAAUAAUUAAAUCAUUAGAAUUUAAUUACAAUAUGGAAGUUUUAAACCUUAAUAUUUUGAAUUAAAAGUUCAUUUUGAUUUUUAAUAUGAGAAAUUAAAAUUUAAGUAUAUCGAGAUUCUAGUUCUUGUUAAUUUUGAAUCAUAAAUGAUUUGAAAUGAUUAAUCUAGGGUGAAUUUGCUUUAUUUGUUUCUAUAUCUGAGUCAAAUCCUAGAAAAUUUAUCAUAUAAUGGGAUGAUCUUCAUUGAUGAAGAGGCAUAAAUGUUUUACAAAUGCAGUCUAAUUAUUGGAGGUUUUUGUUUUUUUAAUUUGGAUUUUAGUCUAUGAAUUAAGGAUCUUAAUCAAUGGUAAAGGAUUAUUUAAAAUAUUUAACCUUAGAUGGAGUUUGCAUGACUUUUUGCUUAAUUAAGUGGUUUUUUGGAUAAGGACCUUGGUUGAUUCAAUCAAGCUCCAUUAUGUGUUUCAUACUGCCUGUUAAUAAUGUGUAUCUAUGUAGCUCCAUUAUUGUUUGGAUUAUUCUCAAGUAUAACCCAUAUUUAAAUAUAAUCUCAAACGAAUUUCUUUCAUUUUUGCUUGGAUUGCAGUGAUAUGAAAAGGUCCAUGAUAGAGAAGAAUGUGUACUUACCUAGAAAUUAAUAUGCACAGUCAAGGAGAAAAAGAAUUCUCAAGAUCGAAUCAAUGAUUUAGCAAAAUAUAAGGUAAAUACAUUUUUAUUAAUCCUGUUAUGAUAAUGUUCAUUUUGGUUCCUCUUGCUUAUAUCUAAUAUUGCAAUGUAAGCUCAUUAGGCAACUUUCUUUGCUUCCUAGGAACUAGAAUGGGAAAAUAAAAAGGAAAAGAAAUUUAGAGUACUGAUACCACAUGAAUUCUUUCUGAGUUCUUGUUUAUAUAUAUAUAUAUAUAUAUAUAUAUAUAUAUAUAUAUAUAUAUAUAUAUAUAUAUAUAUACUUAACCACAUUUCAAAUAAGAACAUGGAAAUGGUCAUGCUGCUAGUGCCUUGGCUAACUGUUGGAAGAAGAACAUAAUCUCUGGCAAUGUGGUUAUGUGGUAUAAUACUUGCUUGAUGAUCCUCAUAAUUAUAGAUUUGAUCCAAGCAAGGCUCCUUGUUACAGUCAAUCCCUCACUUCCCAAGGGAUGUAUUCAGUUAUGCCCAAGUAAUUCAGGAAUUUCUAUUUGAUUUGUGAGGAUCAAUUGUUUGAUCAGUUGGAAUAUGAUUACUGAGAGGGGUAAAAUCAGUGAAGAUUUCAUAGAUGUGUUCUUCAUCGAUCAAUAAAUAAAUUUAAGGGUUACUGAUUUUCCUUCAAAUUUCAAUCUCUACAGAUACCUAGUUUUAGAGCAUUGCCCCCUGGAGUGAAGUUUGGACCAGGAUGGGUAGGAGAGAACGAUCGGACACCACCAAAGCCACUUUUUGUGCCUUCAUCAACAUUACUCUCAUCUCUCCCUCGAGAUUCUGCUCCUGUUGCUAUACCUUGCAAUAUUUUAGUACAUGCUAUAAGACAUGGAUAUGAAUAUUUCAUAAAUUCAUAAAUUAUAACUUUCAUUAUAAAUAAUUAGAAAAUUAAAAAAAAUGAUAAUGCAUAAUAAUAUUUUGUCUAAAAUAUAUUAUUAACACAAGCAGAGUCCUUUUAAAAAAAAUAUAUAUGUAAAUUACCUUAGUUUUUACAUUAGAAGUAUAUAUUUAUUAAUUGCUUAUACGAUAUUUUGGAAAAUGAAAAAAAUUCUACCAUCUCUAAAUAACUUUUAGAAGUUACUAUACCUUUUAAUAAACGUAAUGCAUUGAGUCUUGAUUGAUUUGGAGUUUGUUUAAAUAGCCGUAAAGGGAAAAUAAAUAUCACUAUUUUAAAUCAAGAGACUCAUAAAAAAUUCAAAGCAUUAUACCUUAAUUUAUAGUUUAUUUGCUUAAUGAGAAAAUUAGGGAAGUAUAAUAUAUAAACUAAACUUAUAUAAGUUUAGUUUAGGAAAUUUUAGUAUUAAUGGGAUUAAAUUUUCAGUUUUUAAACAUUUUUAAAAAUUAUUCAACUUAUUGAAUAUUUAAUAAAUUAAGUCUUGUUUGAUUUAAAAUCUACCUCCCGUUAUAAAAUUGUGAAAGACUCAUUAACCCCUUCAAAAAGUUAUAAUGAGUGUUUCAUUAUCAAAGUAAUAUUUAUUUGAGUAUGAUAUAGUGCAUGCAUGAACAAUGCGUAGUGUACACUUAUUUAUUUAAUUAAGUUUAAACUAUUAGUGUAUGUGUUUGAUUGAACCCUAUGUGUAUUUAUUUGUACCUAAUUUUCAAUGAAUUUGUCCAUAUUUUCUUAGUUAACAAAUAGAGUACUCUAAAUAAAAUGAAUCGAUUUGUUGCAUUGAGUCUAAUAAUUUUUUAAAAUAAUUUUGGUUUAAUUAAAAUUAGAAAAAAAAAAUUUAAUCAUUAGAAUGAACUCAAAAUCAAUUUAAACUAAUAAUAUGACACCCGAACCCGAAGGCUAUGGAGGCCUCUGUCAUUUUACAUAUAAACCCAUAGAACCCAACAUAUGAGCGCGAUUAAUUAACGAAUCCAAAGUUUAAAAAAAAAAAAAAAUCUUAAACACUUGGAUAAAAAUUCUAGAAAUCAUAACUGAAUUCAAUCUUAGGUUAAGAAUCUUAAAUAAAAUCAAAUUUAAAGCAGUUUUUAAUAGAAACACCCUAAAAUAAUAGAUAAAAGGAUAAACUCAACAACUCAAUAAGGAAAAAUAGUUCAUAAGAUAUGAAUUCUUUUACAUAAAUUAAUUUAUAGGUAAACUCAUUUAAUUCAAUAAUAAAAUUCAAUUUCUUUAGAAAAUUCAACAAUUUCAAUUUGAAGAUAGAACCAAUAAGUAUACUUUGCAUAAUUAAUUCAUAUUCAAAAAAGUUUUAUAAACAAACAUUUUAUUAUCGUCCCUCAUAAUAUCACAAUGCCCAAAUAAUUGGACUUGAUCUAAGUGACUAACCACAUAUUAUUCCUCUUCCUGAUAGAUGGAAUGGUUUCUAAUUAAUGGUAUACCAAAGACUAAUAACACCCGUAUUGACUAGGAUUGCUCUGCAUCACUAUCCCAACCAAGGGUAAUGAAGGUCAAUAACUUAACCCUUAUUGACCCAAGCCAUUGACAUCCAAAGUUUUCAUAAUUAUUUUAAUUAAUUGAAAAAGAUAAAAUUCAUUUGCAUAACAAUCAAACAAAUAUGAUAUUCCCCAUUUAUUUUAUGAACCAAUGAACAAAUCAGUAUAUAUAAGAAAAUAUCACUUCAAAAUCAUUUUAGGGAAUUCAAAUAUUUUGAUACCUUAAAAAAAACAUAUGAUAACAAAUAGGGAAUUAUAAAAUAACUCAUUGCAUUAUUAACUCCUAUCUUGAAGAAAUCACUCAUAUUCUCAAAAGAAUUAAUUCACACCUUUAAAUUGUAGAACACAGUAAAUACUAAAUUUUUUUUCUAAUUCUUUGAAUCAAAGUUCUCUUAAAAGAAUUAAUCCACACAUUUCAAUUGUAGAACACGGUAAACCCUAUUAUUUUCUUCCAACUCUUUGAAUCAAAGUUCUCAAGGGACCUCUCUCUCUCAAUUUUCUCUUUUCAAUUUGUUAUAAUUUAGAGAGACCUACCAUAAGAAGUUAAAGAUAAUGGGCAAUUAAAGGGACCAAAACUAUUGAUCUUCUUUCACUCCUUUUUUUUUUUUUUUUAAUAUAUGAGUAUCCCUAAAAUCAAUGUCGGUAUUUGGGGCUGCGAGGAAUUUUCUUUUGUUACCACUUGUAUUUGGGGCGUACAUAAGACGGAUCGCAGAUUUUUUCACCUCAUGGGAUGCCCCUGAUAGACUAAAAGAAACCUUGAUGUGCUUGAACACACUGGCAUGGGUAGACUUUGAUUUGACAAAUUGAGUGCGAGGCUGAUACAUCAUACACACGUGAUCCGUCUCAACAACUCGGUCUCCACUGUGUGUCCAAGUGAUGGAAUGACUGAAAUAAGGCCCUUCCCUGCAUUCAAAAUUACAGCGAAUCUCACCAGGCCGCUGAAUAGUUUCGCCCUCCUCAAGUGCAAACACAGCACAUAGAGCAACCCCCGAGAAGUUAUUGUCAAGCCAAUGUGGAGGCAGGGUUGCUGAAACUGAAGCUCCCAUAUUCUCAUGCCAGCGCCACUUUGGAAUCCUACUUCCAGGAAUCACAAUACUGUAUCCUAUUUCUGGAAAAAGUUCCUGCACCAUGCAUUUUAUGAUGUUAAUAUAAUAAUACCAUUGAGAGAGAGAGAGAGAGAGAGAGACCUGAUGAAGUGUCUCUAAUGCCAUUGCCACAUGAUCCUGAUAUAGUCCGGAGCAAUUCCAUAGCAUGAAUUCCACAGGACGAAGCCAAGUGGAAACCAACCAGUUUUGUGGGCUUAUUAUCCGAGAUGGAGUCGGUAAAGACACCAGGGAUGUGCAAUCACAGGCAUCUAAUAAUUUUAUGCUUGGUGGAAGCUUCGGAAUUUUUUGAAGUUGCUCACACUGCCUCACCAAAAGAACUUUCAGAUUAGAAAGUCUACUGAUGUCUGCAGGUAUGCUAACCAUAUAGUUUCUGUUGAGAUUUAAUACUUCCAGACGGUCCAAGUAUUACAAGGUAAACAAAAAUUUUCUCUUCUUCAUGUUUUACUUUUCCUCCAACUUUAGCAAAUCCAUAUCAAGCACCUUCUAUGUGAGCUUUUUGAAACUCUUGGUGGUAUCACUUUUCUUACAAAUCAUCAAUCUCCCGCUCAAUUUUAUAAAGUGAGAUCUUUUUCUUUUUUUUUUUUUUUUUUUUUUUGCAUCUUCAAAGUUGACUCAUUGGAAGAGUCCGCUCAAAUUUUUUUUGCAUCAAUCUCCCGCUCAAUUUCAUAAAGUGAGAUUUCAAACCACAAAUGCUAUUUCGAAGAGUCCUGAGUUCUUUGCAUUUUCUCAGAUUCAGUAACACAAGACCUUUGAGACGAAGAAUUGAACGGGGCAGCUCUCUUAUAGAUGUUCCAUCUAAAAGAAGCUCUUCUAAAUGUUCCAUAACUUCCGUGAUCUCUGGAAGUCUCUCUAGUUUUGAACAGCCAGAAAGGAUGAGAGUUUUGAGGGAUUUCAAAUCACAAAUUCUGCCAGGAAGGAUCUUAAGGUUUUUGCAGCUUUUCAUAUUUAAUAAAACAAGCCCUCGGAGAUACCCAACCGAUGAGGGAAGUUCAAUGAUAGCAGUGCCUUCCAAAUGAAGCUCCAAUAAAGACUCCAUAUUGGCUUUGAUGUCUGGAAACUUCUCAAGUCUUGAGCACCCUGAGAGGUUAAGAACUUCAAGUUUUUCCAAUCCAAUGAUUCUGGGAAAAUAGUGAAGCAUCCUGCAGUUUCCCAAAUUCAAGAUCUUAAGAUUUUUCAGCCUAGCAAUUGAUGGGUGCACCUCACGCAAGCUUGUACAACCAUAUAGAU